rnacentral:lncRNA from 1 species
AGUUGAAGGCUAAAAUGCGAACUGUCGUCUUUACAAAAAUCCAAGAUGACGAGGAAGAUGACAGAGAAAGUGUGGCAUCAUCGUAUCAUAUCACUUUAAGUGAAAUAGACGUGAUUGAGGAAGAAGACGCUGAAACUGCCCCACCCGAGCUUGAAGAAGGAGUCAAAGCCACCAUCGAUGAGUUAAAGGAAAUUAAUUUAGGAGAUGCGGAGAAUCCUCGACCAAUCUACAUUAGCGCUUUACUGGCCGUCAACGAAGAGGAGACUUAUAUUGAAUUGUUGCACGAGUUCAAGGAUGUGUUUGCAUGGUCUUAUAAAGAAAUGCCCGGAUUGGACCCAAAAGUGGCAAUACAUCAUCUCUCCGUGAAGAAAGGAGCUCGCCCUGUGAAACAAGGCCAACGUAGAUUUAGGCCUGAAUUAGUCCCUGCAAUUGAGGCUGAAGUGAACAAACUUAUUGAGGUUGGUUUCAUUCGAGAAGUCAAGUACCCAACAUGGAUUUCAAGUAUCGUCCCUGUUAGAAAGAAGAAUGGACAAAUUCGUGUGUGUGUUGACUUUAGAGAUUUGAACGAAGCAUGCCCUAAGGACGACUUUCCAAUGCCAAUAGCCGAACUAAUGAUCGAUGCUACUACAGGCCACGAAGCAUUAUCAUUUAUGGAUGGGUCGUCCGGAUACAAUCAAAUACGAAUGGCGCCGAAAGACGAAGAAUUAACAGCCUUUCGCACACCUAAGGGCAUUUAUUGCUAUAAAGUGAUGCCAUUUGGCUUGAAAAAUGCCGGUGCUACAUACCAAAGAGCCAUGCAGAAGAUAUUUGAUGACAUGCUCCAUAGAGAUGUUGAAUGUUAUGUGGAUGACUUGGUGGUUAAAUCCAAAAGAAGGGAAGAUCAUCUCCAAAAUUUGAGAAAAGUCUUCGAGCGCUUGAGAAGGUACCAAUUGAAGAUGAAUCCAUUGAAAUGUGCAUUUGGUGUUACUUCGGGGAAGUUUCUUGGAUUCGUAGUUCGUCACCGAGGCAUAGAAAUCGAACAAGCCAAGAUUGAUGCAAUUUUAAAGAUUCGCGAGCCUAGGAACAUUCAUGAACUCAAAAGUUUGCAAGGAAAGUUGGCAUACCUAAGAAGGUUCAUUUCAAACUUAGCCGGUCGAUGUCAACCAUUCAGCCGACUCAUGAAGAAAAAUGUUCCCUUUGAAUGGGAUGAAGCUUGCACUAGUGCCUUUGAAAGUAUAAAAUCAUAUUUAACGAAGCCUCCUGUGUUGAUUGCACCAGUGCCCGGACGAUCGUUAAUACUCUAUAUUGCUGCUCAAGAACGAUCUGUCGGAGCUUUACUAGCCCAGGAGAAUGAUGAUGGAAAAGAGAGUGCCUUAUACUACUUGAGUAGAACAAUGACACCAAAUGAAUUGAACUACUCGCCAAUCGAAAAGACAUGCUUAGCGCUCAUUUUUGCAAUUCAAAAGUUGAAGCAUUAUUUUCAAGCACAUGUUGUCCGUCUGAUCUCAAGGAUGAAUCCUCUAAAGUAUGUCAUGUCAAAACCCGUCCUAUCUGACAGACUCGCAAGGUGGUACCUACAAUUGCAGCAAUUUGACAUAACAUAUAUUCCACAAAAGGCUGUGAAAGGACAAGUUCUAGCCGAUUUCUUGGCAGAUCACCCUAUCCCUGCAGAGUGGGAGUUAUCCGAUGAUCUACCCGAUGAAGAUGUUCUUGUGAUUGAAGCUAGUCCUCCUUGGAAGAUGUAUUUUGAUGGAGCUUCUCACAGAGAAGGAGCGGGCGCCGGAGUAGUAUUCGUCACAUCCAACGGCGAAGUGUUGCCUCACUCUUUUACCUUAACACAAAAUUGCUCUAACAAUGUUGCUGAAUAUCAAGCUCUUAUCCUUGGGCUAGAAAUGGCAGUUGAUAUAAAGCGACUAAAUUUGGAGGUAUAUGGAGACUCCAAGUUGGUGAUCAAUCAGAUACUCGGAUCGUACGAAGUAAAGAAGCUCGAUUUACUCCCUUAUGUGGAUUAUGCUAAAAGACUUAUCGGAUACCUUGGUGAUGUGACGAUAGAGCAUGUGCCAAGAAAGGAUAACAAACAAGCAGAUGCAUUGGCAAAACUUGCUUCUACUUUAGCCAUGCCCGAAGACGGAGCUCGUAUAUCAAUUUUCAAGAGGUGGGUCGUACCACCAAUUUUUGAACACGAAGAAAUUGAAGAAGACGAAACUCGAGUGGUUUACGUGUUUGAAAUCGAGAAAGAAGAUUGGCGUCAAUCGUUUGUGGAUUACUUGAAGUACGAAAAGUUGCCUAAUGAUCCACGUCAAAGGGUUGAUAUUCGACGUCGUGCGGCUCGUUUCAUCUACUAUAAAGAUACACUUUAUAGACGUUCAUUUGAUGGAGUCUUCUUGAGAUGUUUAGGUGAUGACGAAGCCAUUCAAGCCAUAGAAGAAGCUCAUUCCGGAGUUUGCGGCGCCCAUCAGUCAGGACCCAAGCUACAUUUCCGAAUAAAAAGAAUGGGCUAUUAUUGGCCAUCUAUGGUGAAGGACUGCAUGGAGUAUGCCCAAAAAUGCCAACCUUGUCAAUUUCAUGCAAACUUUAUUCAUCAACCGCCGGAGCCAUUGCACCCUACUGUUGCCUCAUGGCCCUUUGAUGCUUGGGGUUUGGAUGUGGUUGGACCUAUGACAAAAGUCUUCAGCUGNNNNNNNNNNNNNNNNNNNNNNNNNNNNNNNNNNNNNNNNNNNNNNNNNNNNNNNNNNNNNNNNNNNNNNNNNNNNNNNNNNNNNNNNNNNNNNNNNNNNNNNNNNNNNNNNNNNNNNNNNNNNNNNNNNNNNNNNNNNNNNNNNNNNNNNNNNNNNNNNNNNNNNNNNNNNNNNNNNNNNNAAAAUUUGUGAAAGUUUGGCUUCAAGCAAAGAAAGUCUUCAAUGUACAACGCAGCCGCCAAUGGACUCGCCGAGGCCUUCAACAAGACUUUAUGUAAUUUGCUGAAGAAAGUGAUCGCCAAGUCAAAACGUGAUUGGCACGAGAAGAUGGGAGAAGCUUUAUGGGCUUAUAGAACAACGUAUAGAACACCUACUCAAGCCACUCCAUAUGCUUUGGUGUACGGUGUGGAAGCAGUCUUGCCUCUUGAAAAACAAAUUCCAUCAUUGAGGAUAGCUAUACAAGAAGAACUCACUCAAGAAGAAAAUGCCCGUUUGCGUCUUGCAGAAUUGGAAGCUCUUGACGAGAAAAGAUUAGAGGCACAACAAAGUAUUGAAUGCUACCAAGCUCGUCUUUCUAGGGCGUUUAAUAAGAAGGUGCGGCCAAGAUCGUUUCAAGUUGGAGAUUUGGUACUUGCCGUAAGGAGGCCCAUCAUCGUCACUCACAAAACUAGGAAUAAAUUUACUUCAAAGUGGGAUGGUCCUUAUGUCGUCAAAGAAGCAUACACAAAUGGAGCGUACAAGUUGGUUGCCGAAGAUGGUUUAAGAAUUGGUCCGAUAAAUGGAAAGUUCUUGAAGCGGUACUAUGCAUGAAGCGGAGGAGAAGGCUCCUGGCCCGCAUGAGUUGAAACUGUGCACGGCUAAAAAAAAAAAAAAAAAAAAAAAAAAAAAAAAAAAAAAAAAUCUAUCUUUUUUCUUUGAACUACGUUAUGACUUGAUCCCACUCGGGGUACGUAGGCAGCUUAAAUAUUCUCUAAGUUCAGUCCUUUCCUAAAAAAAAAAAAAAAAAAAAUCUAUCUUUGUUUUCUUUGAACUACGUUAUGACUUGAUCCCACUCGGGGUACGUAGGCAGCUUAGAUAUUCUCUAAGUUCAGUCCUUUCCUAAAAAAAAAUCUAUCUUUUUUCCUUUGAACUACGUUAUGACUUGACCCCAUUCGGGGUACGUAGGCAGCUUAGAUAUUCUCUAAGUUCAGUCCUUUCCUAAAAAAAAAAAAAAAAAAAAAAAAAAAAAAAAAAAAAAAAAAAAAAUCUAUCUUUGUUUUCUUUGAACUACGUUAUGACUUGAUCCCACUCGGGGUACGUAGGCAGCUUAAAUAUUCUCUAAGUUCAGUCCUUUCCUAAAAAAAAAAAAAAUCUAUUUGUUUUCUUUGAACUACGUUAUGACUUGAUCCCACUCGGGGUACGUAGGCAGCUUAAAUAUUCUCUAAGUUCAGUCCUUUCCUAAAAAAAAAAAUCUAUUUUUUUUCCUUUGAACUACGUUAUGACUUGAUCCCAUUCGGGGUACGUAGGCAGCUUAAAUAUUCUCUAAGUUCAGUCCUUUCCUAAAAAAAAAAAAAAAAAAAAAAAAAAAAAAAAAAAAAAAGAAUCUUUAAAAAAAAUAGGGGGACCACAAGGGAAAAGGAAAAUUUUUUUUUUUUCAGGAAUCAAAAAGGGGAAAUAACCAUUAAAAAAACCAAAAAUUAAAAAAAUAAAAAAAAAAUCAUCUAAAUCUAGCUCAAGCAAAAGGGUCUAAAUCCGUCCAACUUUUCUUUGGGCAUCUUCUAGAAGCUCGGCAGAAGCGCGCAAUUCGUCUACCAAAUCAUCACUUAAAGGGGAUGUAUUUUCAUGGCAGCAAUCUCUUCAUUAAUCUCACGAAUUUCUAUUUUAACAGUAUCAAGGAGUUCUCGUUGUUGUUUUAAUGAUGAUCUCAACUGUCCCACCCUCAGCUUCAAAGUAGCACGCUCUUUCUUAACACUCUCCAAAUCAUUAUUGGUGGCUUGAAAUUGAAGAGUCUCUUUGUGUUCUCUAGCUUGAGUAUUAUGCAAACGAUCUUUAGCCCCAUCUAAUUGUCGUGCUAGAAUCUCUUUAGAUGCCUUCUCAGUGUUCGACGACCUCACCUUAUCAUAAGCCGUCGCCUGGGAAAAUAAUGACUUCAAUAAUUCUUCUAUGCAAGAUAUGUCGAAAUCACCAAGAUCCCGCAUGGUUCCAAGAACUAAUUGGACAUCUUCUUGAAUAGACGAAAUGGAAUCAAUUGAAGUCCGUACUAUCCUCGCACGAAGAUCUUGCCAUAAUUGGCGAAGAAAAACCCGCUUGUGAUUUUUCAGGAAAUUCUCACCCACAAAAACUGAACAAGCACCAUUGUACGACCCUUUCGCGGUCUCUUUCAUCUUGGAUGUUCUGGCAGGCAUCAAAGUAGUCGGCGGCGAAGCUGCACCCGUUGAGCAAGCAUUGGCAGUGGAGUGAUGACUAGCUUGAGAUUCCUCGCGAUCGUCAACGUCAAUUAUCUCCUUUUCCAACUUAAAAAAAAAAAAAAAAAAAAAUCAUUAUAAAAAAAAAAAAAAAAAAAAAAAAAAAAAAAAAGGGAAAAGUAUAAAGUGCAACCUUCUCAGCAAAAGUGUCAUUUGUUCGAGAAUGACUGUCCACGUUGUUAUCAAUAUGAAGAAGAUCUUGUGGUUUUGAAGAUUGCGGGUCCCUCUUCGGCCUUUUCCAAUGACGCUCUAUAUGGCUAUUGUCACUCUCAUCCGAAGGAGGCAAAACGUUCUUCUUCUUUAUAUCUCUAGGAGGAUUUUUGGUUUGGAGAACAUUUUCGCGAGAAAGAUUGUCGAGACUACCUCUUGCCUCAUCUUCUUUGUCUUCAAGUGGAAUCUUACUUGACUCCAAGUUCAUCAGACUCGCAGCUUUAUUUUCAAGAUAAGUUCCGUAAGCUUUAGUCCACCAUCUCUUAUAGUCGUCCGUGUGAAACUUUCUCGGAUUUUGAGGAACGAUGGAAAACAUCACUUUAGACAUGGACUCGAGCAAAACACAUAGACGCCAAUAACGGAGUCCAUCUAUUAAAGAAGCCUCGCGAACGUCUUCAUCAAGUACUCCCGGAACAUCUUGGUAAAACCCAAAUUGACGGCUAAACCGAUGAGGACUAUAUGGCUCAAUAACGAAACGAUUACCACGCCGCAAGGAGAGAUAGCUCGAGCGAAUGGCGAUGAAAUAAUUUCUCUCGAACCCUUUAGUUGUUCCAUCAUCAACAUAUAAAGAAGACUCGCUCCUAGGGAUCGUGGUGCAAGUCCAAGACAUAAGAUCUCCUUUGUGAAUCCGUUUGCGUGCAUCCGCGGGAGUGUAGUAUCUAGCGCUUCUUUCUCCGGAAUAAGAUACCAUCUUUGGGCCAUCGACGGCUACGCCUUGCGGAACUUGACAAUGGGUCUUGAAAUAAAACGCCAACCAACUAUAGACGAAGUGAAUAGGAAACGGAGAAUUCUCUUGAUGGGGUCUCAAGGAUCUCGAAAUCCUAUUUAUGCCAUUGAAGAUGCUUGCCAAGACAGGAACUGCAAGAGAGACUUCUUCGCCACUCGCCAUUAUGCUAGCCAUCUUGAAUGUUGAAGGACGUAUCAUGCCCACAUCAUCAAUAGGGAGGACGAAGGUGCAAAGCCAACAAGCCAAAUGGGCCGCCAAGUACGUCUCGGACCUCAGUUCGACAUCAACGCUAAUGCUCGAAAACACAGCUUCUUCAAUGUUGAUCCAUUUCGCAUGUGCUUCAAUAUUGCCGGAAGGAUUGUGAGUUGACUUGGGGCGAACACCUUUCUUUUCUUUGCGCGGAGGAGGUUGAGUGUACUUCUUCUGCUUCUUCGACCAAAACUGAAUCCAGCUUUCGACAGAGACAUUGGAGGACGGAUCUUUAGAGCGCUUCCGAAGUAAGUGGUAGGCAUGGAAUAGAUGUCGGCAGGAACGGUGAGAAUAUCGAACACCCUUUGCAUCGGAACCGACGAGUUCUUGAGAGGCAGGGACAACUUCAUCGUAAAGCAGCCCGGUUAACGAUAGCCCGGAGAGGAUGUGCAAAUCCCAUAAAGAGAUAGACAUUUCUCCGGGAGACGUCAAGAGGGUAUUUGUAGUCGGACACCAUGCCUCGAAGAACGCCUUCAUAAUUUCGGAAUUGUAGUCGUACGUGAAGAGGGAAGCAUAUACAGGAUCAUAGAUCUUCGCGGACUUCAGCUUGUGCUGGCAACGACUGAGAACGUCUUCGGUCCACUCCCAGUACCCUUUGAAGAAUUGAAAGCCGCCGGAAAGCUCGAGAGUAUCUCCCCACUUGACUCUUCCAUUCACGAUGUUGUCACCCAAAGUCGGCAGAAGGCUCGGACCGCUUGACUCUUCCGGAAGCAAGGAUCUGUCGGGUUUAUGAUUUGAUGCUCGCAAGCUAUACACGUACUCGUACUUAUUAUGAGGAUGCUCGUGGGACCAAACGGACAUGCGAUUCGGAGUCGUGAGGCGUGGCCAUUGCUUUGCGUAAGAACCAAUAAGGGGGGCAUAAAUCGUCAAGACGGUUCCUUUGUCAUUCGGUUGGUAGCGAUCGUCAAGAAUUACCAAUUGCUCGUCGCCGGAAGAGGAGAAAGCUUGCUUGAAACAAACCAUCGCAAAACCUGUCAAAACAAUUUCAAAACAAAGAGCAAUUAGUUUGACAAAAAAAAAAGGAGGAAGAAAAAGAACGGGGGCAAGGAACUGCGCUAAAAUCAAAUACCAAAUCUGUCGAGUUGCGAAACCUGGAAAAGGAAAACAGUAUUUUGUUUUGGUAAGCAAUCGAGCAAAAUAAACGGGCAAAACUCGAAUUUAAAAAAAAAAACAAAAAAAAAAAAAACAAAAAAAAAAAACAAAAAAAAACAAAAAAAAAAGGGGAGAAAGCAGUUCUUAGUGUCAUAUUAUCAAACACCUGGCGGACGUGUUCAAAGAGUCUGAUUAUGCGUAUAUUUUAUAUGCAAAACUGACCUGGAAUCGAUUACAAGUAGCAGACAGAAGCAAAUAAUUGGCAGGUCGUUGGAUUUGUGAAUGAAAAAAAAACGAAGAGGGCAUCCCCCUUUUAUAAGGGAUAGAUGAAGCUAAUCCCACAAACCUUAGGUUUCUAAUCAACCAAUCAAAAGAAAGCAUAAUCUCAAUAGAAGAAGGAGUGUUCAACUUGUCCGUGAAACCAAAUUGCAAUGGGAAAAGGAGUGUUUAUUUUGCAGAGAAGAGUCACUGCCCAUUAAACUUCGAUUUGAAUUGGAAGAGAACUGCCCAUAUAGAAUUAAAAUUCUCUCAUCGUACGAUCCUCAUGUUUCACUCGAAGUAAAUUAAAAUUCCCAACUUAUGAUGCAGAGAAACCCGUUGAAGUUAGAAGUUCAAAAUUACGGUGUUGCUGCGCGAGUGUUUCAAAAAAAAAAAAAAAAAAAAAAAAAAAAAAAAGAGAUCGAAGAAUGGGAGAAGUUCUAAGCAUGAGGAAGUCUGAUGCUUCUAGCCGUCCGCACUUGUGAUUUGGGUGGGCCCAUUCAAUUUUAUUAUUAAGUAUGGGUUACGAUUUCAAUGAUCUCACAAAAGGUGCUCAAUUUUGAAAGUGUUGAGCUUGGGAGAUGUUUGUUACAAAACAAAAAAAAAUAAAUAAAUAAAAGUGAUUAUCGUGACUUAUUCACUUCAAGACGCAUCGUCCGUGAACAAGUCUCGUGGGGGCAUUUGUAGAUAAAUAAAUUUUAUCCAAAAGAAAGGGACCAUUGUGCAAUUACGAAACAAGGAAUUCUAUUUAAAUUCUAUGGCCCAUGGCAAUUCCGUAAUUAAAUAUUUAAAUUCAAAUCAAAUCAAGAUUAUGUGCCGUAUAUUGGUAUCUAUAUUUAAAUAUCAAUUACAUAUUUUCUAUUUUAAAUCUAGGGAUUUAAUUAAAUUAAUUCCUAAAUUAAAUAGAUAAUUGAUUUUAAAUAUAUAUUUACCAGUAGAACUAUUUAUUCUCUUCCAAAUUAUAAGGGAUAAAUAUCAAUUAAUUAUUGGCCAAUAGAAUUGUUUCUUCUCUUCCAAGUUACAAGAGAUAAAUAUCAAUUUAAAUCGGGCCAAUCAAAUCGCGCCACAUCAUCAGUAAGGCCCAUCAAGGACUCUUAUUCUACCACUAUAAAUAGGAAUCCUCCCUCCACAAUUAAAAACACAACUGAAGGAGCAGAAAUCGUAGGAGCAAAAUUCUCUCUACAAUUCAAGAAGCAAGGAAGAAGAAUUCGUAGGAGGUAAGAUUCUCUCUCUACAUUCAAAGUGUUCUUCGUCAUAUUCGAGGUGUUCUUGAGCAAAUUCAAGGCGUUCUUCGUCAAAUCUAGCGUUCGAUCCGAGAUAACGGUGCCAAACCUUCGGAUUAACGUUAAUCAAUUCAAGUCAAGAUCACUGGAAGAUUGAAGGGCCAAAUCCAUCAAGAAUUUCAAGAUCUUCAAGUCAACGCCCGUCAAAGUUCAACAAAUCAAGAUCGAAGGAAGAUUGAGGGGCCAAAUCCAUCAAGAACUUCAAAAUCUUCAAGUCAAAUCAAGUCAAAGUUCAACGUUCGAUCCGAGAUUCAAGUCGCAAGACCCUCGGAAGACGUUAUUCAAAUCCAAAUCAAAUCCGGAGAAGAUCAAAUCAACGACUCGUCUCCGAAAUUCAAAGUCAAUCAUAUAUUUUUCUUGAGAGAAUAAUCAGAGGAUUAAAAUAGAGAUUGUAGCCCGCAAUUUAUUUAUUUUAAUUCAAUAAAAUCAUCUUUGUUCAAUUUUUCUUGUUUGUUUAUAUCGCAGAUAAGAAUUUGUUGUUACACUUAUCUUUUUCUUUUUUAAUUUUAAAUUCAUAAUAUAUUUCAUUUCCUACUCAAUUGAUUAUUACUUUAAUUGAUCACAUACAAGGUUCUGAAAUUAAUUAUUAUAUAGGUUUUAAAAACAUGUGAAUAUCUAUGAUUACUUUAUUAGUAUUGGAGUAGCACAUAAAAUUUUAUCUAGUGCGAAUAAGUUAAUUAAACAACUUACUCGAUAUUCGAUUCAAGAUCGUUCUUUAAAAGCUCGUUAUUCAAGUUCAGUUUUUUUUUUUUGCAUAAUGAAUCAAAGAAAUGUUUUUAAUUUAAUAAGAUGUGAAGCUCGAUUCGAGUUCAGCUCAAUUAGUAUAUAUAGUUAUACAAUAAUUUGCCCGACAAAACCAAGUAAUAUAAUAAGAUAAAGUUAUUUUAAAUAUAGAUUGAAUUUGAUUAAAGAAGUGAUGACAUAAACUCAUUCAAAUGCUUUAAUCAACUUGACACUACUAUACAAGAAACAUAAAAGAGAAAACAAUUCACGAAUUGCAUGCGCAUCCAUAUCUUCUUUCCUUUAAUUAAUAUUAUUAGGAUAAAUUACAUCCACCCGAUAUAUGGUCAAAUUGCGAAAAUUCUCUCAUGUUUGGGUAAUUAUAACCACCCCUCAACUAUAAAUUUUCUUACACGUCUACCCUUGUGGUUUAAAAUUUAGUGGAAUAUUCGAGAUCAUAUUGGAUAUUAUCACUUUUGUACCCGUUUUAUCCCAUUCGAACUCCACAUUUUGAAGCAAGGUGAUCAUAAUAUGUGUUUUUUGGCUUGUAUAUAUCAGAUUGUGAUGCAUCAGAAACUGUAUUUUUACACAAAACGUGUACAAACUAGAGCACAUUCCACGAUAUCUAUAUGAUUAUGUUGAAUUUGACACCAUAAGGGUGGAGGUGUAAGAAAAAAUCAUAGUUUAGGGGAUAUAUGUAAUCGUCCAAACAAGAGGAAUUUUUUCGUAAAUUGACCAUACCUCGGGGAGUUAUUGUAAUUUACCCAUAUUAUUAUUAUUAUUAUUAUUAUUAUUAUUAUUAUUAUUAUUAUUAUUAUUAUUAUUAUUAUUAUUAUUAUUAUUAUUAUUAUUAUUAUUAUUAUUAUUAUCAUCAUCUUUGGUUUUAUAUCUUGUCACAUCCUAGUAUUCAUGUCUCCUUUUCUCCCUUUUGAUUGACCGUCAAAUGCGCAUGCGUAUAAGUUACAAACACUCCAUUUGGUUUGAUUCGAUACUAUAUUUUAUAACCACUCCAUUUCAAAUUCAAAUUCUUUAUUGACAUAUGUUAAUCAUUUCAUAUUAAUACCUCAAAUUAAUAUUAAUCAAUUGGGGUGAAUUUAGCCCUAGAUCCAGUUUGGGGCGAGCUUCCCAAAAAUUGAAAUUGAAAUUGAGUGAGUUUAAUUCAAAAGGAGGUGUGCAAAAUUUCUCCAAUCAUUUUAACUUAAGUCCAAAUUUCUAAGAAAACAAAAUUGAGAAUAGAAACUUUGACUUGAAUUGGUAUUUUUCCCAUGUGACAAAAGUAGGGCUGGGCAAAAAUUACCAAAUACCGAUUACCACGGUAUACCUACCACAAAUUACCGAAUAAAUACCGAACUAUCGGUUACCACUGCAUUUGGUACGGUAUCGUACCGUACCAUUUUCUUACGGUACGGUAGCGGUAUUGUAUCUUCAAUACCAUGGUAAUACCGUACCGUACCGAAACUUAUUUUAAAAAUUAGUUAACAUAUUUUUCCAUUUAUAUUGUUAAAUAAAAAAUAAAUAGUCAACAAAUAUUAUUAAAAAAAUAAAAAACAAGAAUAAAGAUAUGAUACAUCCAAUAUAUAUUAUAUAUACAUAAUUAUAAUUUUUUUUUACUAUUUUAUAUUUAUGCAAACUCAAUAUUUGCCUCUCGUUGAAGUUGUUUAGGUCACGUACUUCUUUAGUUUCAAAGUCCAACUAAUCUCUUAUUGGUGGAAUACUUUUUGCCAUAAUUUUCUUCUCCCUUUAUUUCCUCCCUAAUUCUCAACCUUUUGUUUCAUUUGCAUUAUUGCAACAUAGUUUUUUUUCUAUUUCUCUUUAUAUAAACCAUGAAAUUUUUUUGCUCAUUAAUUUCUACAAUUUUUCUAUAGAUAUCUUAGCAAUCAUUAGUUAAUUGAAGUGCUAUUACGGUCGUAUAAUGUACAUUCAUGUAAAUUUCCUGAUUAUCAUAUUCAUUUGCUUAAUUUGUUUUAUUUAAUAUUCAUCUUAAUUAUGAUAUCAUUCGAGUUAAUCAACACAGUGAUGUACGGUAGAUUACCACGUACCGAUCAUACCGUACCGAAACUAACGGUAUACCGCAAUUGUUGGUACGGUAACGGUAUAGAAUUUUUCAAUACCAAAAGAUACGGUAGGUACACGGUAUUGAAUAAAAUGUUCGGUAACCGUACCGAAACCACCCCUAGACAAAAGUGUUGUCUUUUCAGUUUUCAGUAAUAAUAAUAAUAAAAUGUGAAGAGGAGAUUCAACAUAUAUCAAAACCAUUUUAUAACGUUACUGUGCUGUGCAAUGCAUCCUUAUGAUUUUUUGUCUCUUGUCUUUAAAAGUAGUGCAAAUUAUAGUCCAACUUCAAUUCGGUCCAAACAUACAUCCCUUUGUCCAAUGUUUUUGGUCUCCAUUUCACUUAUUGUCUUUGAUUCUUCUUCUUUUUUUCUUUUUUAAAUUUAUUUAUCAUUAAUUCGAUCAUCGUCUGUACUGACAAUGAGUACAAUCGGCAAAAAACGUGCGAAAUCAAUCAACAUAUUAUGUUACUUUCUAGAUUCAACAAUUUUACGCGAUGUGAAUAAGUAUAGAUUUACGCACUACAUUCGUACAAAAUGUAGCAUAUACGAGUGUGACAAAAGUUUUGCUACGGUAAAUGGCCGUACCAAUUAAUACUUUUUUGCUACGGUAAAUUCUAGUAUUUACUACGACUUCAAAAUUGUUAUGUAGUAAAAAGUACCUUUUAUUAUGAUUUUUUACUGUAGCAAAAAAUUUCGUAGUAAUAAACAAAUUUUCUACUAGUGACGGUUGAAAUCUACCCAAUGUAAAUAACCAGAUUUAGCAUCUAAUUGUCCAAAAAUGAAGGUACAAAAUGAAAUCCGAUAUUAAUAACAAAUAAAAGCCAUAAUUAUAAGAAUAUAUCAGACAAAGAAGAACAUAUAUAUAUAUAUAUAUAUAUAUAUAUAUAUAGAGAGAGAGAGAGAGAGAGAGAGAGAGAGAGAGAGAGAGAGAGAGAGAGAGAGAGAGAGAGAGAGAGAGAGAGAGAGAGAGAGAGAGAGAGAGAUUCUUAAAACAAACAAACAAAGUAGAACAGUUACAAACAGAACACACAUGCAUGCAUGCAUAUUUAUCUUAAUUACACUUCAAUCAUAUACAUAUACAUAUAAUAAUAUAUAUACUGAAUAAACCACCUAAAACAUUACUCAGAAUAAUUCAGCAACUUCAUAUCCAAAUGGGCUUUCUGGAAGAUCUAUUUCUUCAUAACUGCAAAUUUCAUUAAUUACCAAAAUAAUAUUAAUAUAAAUUACAAUCAUUAAUAAAAAUAAAAAAUAAAUAAAAUUGGAGUUACAAGAUGAACUAAUUUGUCUUGAGAUAUUAAUUAAUUACCUCUCCGGCGGCUCGUUGAUGCUCGUCUUAACGUGAGUACGUUUGUCUUGACUAGUGCUGGAGCCAUCAGAUGACGACGACUGGCUCGUGAGCAACAACGUAUGAUCUGUCUCCGAGACGAUUUCCUUCCUCUUGAGCUCAACUACUAACAUACACAGAAUAUACAUAUACAAUAAUGUAAGCAUGCAUCCAAAAAAAGAAACAAUUUUUUAAUAUAUAUAUGUAACGAAAAAUGAAUCUUGAAAAAAAAGAAAAAGUUGGAGUCUUGCUUGAAGGAGGCUUGGAUUCUGCAUCUUGAUUUGGAGCGCUGUUAAUUGCAUGCUCGAUUUUCUCCUCCGUCUUUCUGCACGGAGAAUAUACUACAACAUCAAUCACAACAUUUUGAAAUAAUAUUAUUCUAAUUAAGAUAAUUGCAUGCGUAAAAAUCGACGAGAGGUUCGUGUAUGAUACAUCUUUAAAAUUAAAAGGAGAACUUAUAAGAAUUGUAAGACUUGAUUUGUCGUAAUUUUUACGUCGAAAAAUCUGCACAUCAAGAAUUCAACAUAUACGCAUGUGCAUGUAAAAAAACGCCCGUAUUUAUCAGAAAAUGGCACGUAAAUUAAAGUCGAAUAACCGCCACGAGACACUGAAUUAAAUAGGAAUAGCGUCACAAGACACGACAAAUUAAAAAGAAAAACAGAGAAGACAUACGUAAGAGACCGUAUAUUUUAUUACCUAUCAAGGACGAUUGUCUUUCGAUAAGGUUUCACCAUGACGUGCGCUUCACCGAUAAAAUGAGGGUUCGUUUUAGUCAGGACAAGGGCGGCUGUCUCCGGAUAAACAAACGUCACAAAACCGUACAUCCUCUUGUCCAAAUUCGGAAUCCUAACUUCCCUUACCGGCCCAAAAUUCCUGCAAAUUAAAUUAAAUAAUAAUUAAUAUUCUCGCCGUUAAUUACAACAAUGUAACCAAUUAUUAAUACCUAGUAGCUAGACAUAUAAUAAACUUUUUCCUUACUCGAAAUAAUCGUAAAUAUCUAGAUCAGAGAAACUACUCUGCGGAAGAAAAGUCAGAUAAACUUGGCACGAAUUCGCUGCAAUAAAUUCAUCUCCGUUUCUUUCUUCGAUAAAUCUAUUGUACUUGUGUAUAUCAUCCGCCAAAAUAAUCGACUGCCUCCCAUGUGGCCUAUAUUGAAAAUUUAAAAAUAAAAUUAAAAACAUUAAUCACCUUCAGUUUAGCUUAUAUAUAUAUAUAUACAAACACACGUAACGAAAGAUCAUUAAUAAUGACACCUGUCAAUGACGCGAAUGCAUUUCGUCAUGUAAGCAAAAAGUUGAGCAACGGUGCAUUGCGCUUCUCUAAGAUACACGUCGACCAUAAACGCCCUCUCGUACUUAUCGUAAUAAAGAAUGGGCAGCGAAGAAAUCGAGACAGGAAUACCCCUCCUCGAUUUCAAGAGCUCGAUUAUCUCCACCUCGAGUUGCUUGAGGGCUCCACGCGAAAACGUGCGGUCAAUAUUCGGCUCGUUCGGUGGGUUAAGUACCAUAUAGCCCCCGUUCUCCGUUCCAAGUACAUGCAAGAACUUACACGCGCCCCCGUACUUACAAUACCCCUUCUGGAAGUUAUCGCAUAUCAUUGCUCCGGAAGGUUCCGGAAAGUGGGGGCAGAAAUCAUGCACAUGACAGUAUUGCAUGAACUGAUCUUCCAAGGGCAAGAUCAGAUGAGGUUGUUGGAAGUUAUGAACCGAUGGGUGGUGAUAAGUGGCCGGGAUCGUAGCUAGAGGAAUAUUCCGUUGUCCGGUUUCGAGUGGGGAACGAGAUGAAGAAGGGGUGAAGGGGGUGAAGUUUGUGGGGAGUUUUGUUUUGGGGGGUGAGAGUAGUGGAGUACUAGGGUUUGGAGAUGAGGUGAGGUCUUGUUUGACUUUUUCGAUCAACGAGCGGAGUAGGUAUUCGGGUCCGAAGGCUAAACGGAUCAUUUCGAGUUUGGAGUAGCCUUUCAGGAGGAGAUAACCGAUUAUUUUGGAGACGUUUUCCGGGUCGAGAUCUUGAAUUCUUUCGAAAACGGCUUUUGUUGACUCGGAGUAGUUCAUCUUCAAACUCAACCUGUAUAUUAAACAACAAUUAAUUAAUUGUGUAUAUAGUGUGUAUUUAUGUAUGUAUGUAUAUAUAAGAAUGGCACAACAUAUAUUAAGAAAUAGUUGGAGAAAAUGAAGAAAGAAAGCAAAAUCAAAUUAAAGAAUAGAAUCAAAUCAACUCAAAAUGCAUGGAUAUAUACAUAGGCAUAUCAUAUUAGUUAAAUUUUGUAAAUUUCACUAAUAUACCAUCAAACUGACAUUUUUGCAAACGGCAAUUUCAAGCUAAUUAAAAUGACUAAUUGGUUAAUUAAACUCAUAUACAUAUAAUGGUGUGAUUAAAGCUAUAGCGACGACGUUAAUUUCGAUGCAAGAACAAGAACAAUCACCAACAAACAGUAUUUAACUACUAAGAUUAGACAAGCACAAACACGAGCUAGGAUAAAUGAUGAAUGUGCAAAUAAAACGAUCUCUUUAUAUUUGAUGGAAAACGGAGCAAUUAGAAAUUAACAAAAAGAGCACGAAAUUUAAUCUGCAUGAACCAUUAAUUAAUUUAAAAAGAAGAUCUUCUUUCACUACAAGGAAACAUGCAUUGUACAAGAAAUGAUCCAUUUUCUUGCAUGCAAGAUCAUAAAGAUCAUAUCUUUACAAAGAAUUUGCCAAUAUGAAGAAAAACCCAUGUCGAUUGAAGUGUUGAAAAGGAUUAUUAAUGAAAAAAAAAAGAUCAAAUUUUUAAAAGAAAAACAGUUCUUGAAAAAAAAAAAAACCCACCAAAAUCUUUAGCUGCAGAGAAGAUCGAGGCCGAAUGAACACCGAGUUUCAGUCGCAGAGUUGAGAAGAAGAAGAAGAAUAGUUGAUCACUGAGAAAAUGUGGUUGGCAUAAUAUAAUUGUAAUAUUUGGUGGUGGUACGGUGGGUAUAUUAAUUAAGAUAUAUAUGACAUACAUAUAUUGAUAUGACUCCAAAAUUGCUCACGAAAAUUAAGAGGAGAAAAAGGACACACAUCGAUAAAGGUAUUGUCUUUUGCUCUCAUUUCUCGCCUACUUUCAGUUUCUCUAUUUCUUCUUCUGCUUCUUCUGCAAUUGUAUUAUUAGUUUACAAAACCCACCGAUAUAACUCAAAUCAUCCAUUGUUUAUAUCGAUCUCCACGUACACCUUGUCAAUUCAUUAUAUAUUUUUUAUUUCUAUAUAUUUUCUAGCAAUAUAUAUAUAUAUAUGGAACCAUGCAUCCAUCACAGCAGAUAUAGAAACCAGAAGUGUAUACCUAACUUUUAAGGUUAGCAUGGGACAAAACCCACCUCUCUCCUUUCAUCUCCUUAAUUUAUAUUUUUAUAUUUAUUUUUGUGUGGGCCCCAGGCCCAGAGAAAAACAACGUACGUAGGCAGUUGAUGUAAGAGAGCAUGCAAACUGAAAAUGAGGAUGUAAUUACUGCUUUUUUUUUUAGGUAGUAUGGUACGAAUUAGUUAGAAAGGCAGAUGAUCGAUCGUAUCGAUCACAUUUAAACUCACCUACUGUAUUUUGCAUGCAUGCCAUUUGUCUCAUGACUACUUUCUUUAUCAUGCAUGCAUCAUCUAAACCCCACCACCGAUAUAUCUCCCUUGUUUGUCUGUUGCGGACGAGUUGUUUCGUUUCUUGCAAGUCGAGACUCUAGUUCAAUGGGGAGAGCCAGCAGGGCGCGGAUCAUCGCUUCGUUUUGAACCACAAGUGGUACUUCCCUCAAUUCAUGUCAUGUUGCUGGCUUUCCGCCAGCUUUCUUUUAUCUUUGGGCCGAAUAUAGUCACACUCGUCGCCUAUAACUACCCUACAUUGGGCUUAGUGGUCAAUGUGGGAGUGGAUCUGAGCUUUAUUUGUAAAAUUAUUAUUACUUGGACUUUUAGGACAAUCGAGCCCAUAUCAAGGAGGAUUUAAAUUGGAAAAAAAAGUUAAAAACAAUUUCUUAAUAAAUGAAAUAUUAUAAUUAGAUGGGCCAACAUAUUUUUCAAGAUCCCAUUAAAUAUACUUAUUAUAAUUGUUAGACACUUGGUCUUGGAGUACGUAGGCCUGUUGAAAGAAAGCCCAAACGGUGUACUUUAACUCAUUGCAGCCAGUAAUUAAUUGUAGGGUAAAUUACAAACACCCCUGAGGUAUGGUCAAAUUACAAAACCCCCCUCUUGUUUGGAUAAUUACAUCUAUCCCCUUCAGCUAUGGUUUUUUCUUAUACCUCCACCCUUAUGGUACCAAAUUCAACAUAAUCAUCUAGAUUGCGCGGAAUGUGCUCUAGUUUGUACUCGUUUUGUGUAAAAAUACAGUUUCCGAUGCACCACAAACUGAUAUAUACAAGCUAAAAAACACAUAUUAUGAUCAUCUUGCUUCAUAAUGUAUAGUUCGAGUGGGAUAAAAUGAGUACAAAAGUGAUAAUAUUCCAUAUAAUCUCGAAGAUUCCACUAAAUUUGAGGAGUUGAGGUGGUGGUUGUAAUUAUCUAAACAAGAAGGGUGUUUUUGUAAUUUAAUCAUACCUCAUGGGUGUUUGUAAUUUACCCUUAAUUGUAAUAAUUUGCAAGUUUUAUUUUUUAAUUAGGGUAAAUUACACCCACACCCCUGGGGUAUACUUAAAUAACUUUAAGGUCCUUGUGGUAUCGAUAAUUACAUUAACCCCCUUGAAACGUAGUUAUAAACUCUAAUGGUAUAAUGCAUUGGAUACGUUAUUACGAUAGAGUUCUAACGGACUAUUGGUUUCAGGAAGUGGUGAAGACAACAAAGAGUUAUGAGUGAUUUAAGAAAUAUUGGGGGAGCCAUGUCACCCUAUAACUCCCCAUAACUCUAUGUUACCUCCAUAACUAUCUAAAAGUAAUAGUCCAUUAGAACCCUAUCGGAAUAAUGUAUCUAAUGCAUUAUCCCGUUAGAGCUUUUAACUACCUUUCAGGGGGGUGAGUGUAAUUAUCGAUACCACAGGGACCUUACAGUUAUUUAAGCAUACCUCAGGGGUGUGGGUGUAAUUUACCCUUUUAAUUAUUUAUUUACUUUGAGUCUUACAAAUCAAAAUCAAAGUCUACUAUUUGCAUUUGAUUUUCUAGAUAAUAAAUUGUUAAAAACUUAUAAAAUUAAAUUUGUUCUUGCAAAUAAACAAGUUUGACAACCCCCACCGCCACGUUCUCUUCUCACCGGCGCAACCCCACCCUUGAUUCACCUUCCUCCACCACCACCACCGCCACUGCCGCCGGCAGCUCCACCAUCCGUCCGUCUUCCUAUUUAUAGAUCCACGUAGUAUAUGUAAUCUAUUCUUCUGAAAUUAAUUUGUUGCGAGGAGAUAAAUUAUACCAAAAAUCAGAAUUUAAUGUAUCAGUGGAGGAAAUUCGACUUCUUCGAGGAGAAGAAGAUCAAAAUUCCGGAGGAGAUAGAGGCCGGAAUUCAAUGCUGCUCCAGCGGCCGAGGCAGGAUCGUCUUAGGUUCCCAAGACGGCACCGUUUCGCUUCUCGAUCGUACCCUCCAGCUCCACCGCUCCUUCCCCGCUCACUCCGCCUCCGUUCUCCUACUCCAACAACUCAAGGUAUCUAACAUUUAAUUAUCCCCAAUUUCAUCCUGGGUUUUAUAAGGUUUUGUGUGUGUGUGUGUGUUUGAUCCAAUUGUUCUUCUGAUUGUGACAAAUCGAUGUUUUCUUAUCAUUAAAACUCUAGGCUUGACAAUUAAUUUUAAUGCUAUAAUUUUCAAUUAAGCUCAAUUAGGGUAUUUUUUUCAUUGUGUUCCUGGUCCAGUAACCUGUGAUUUCCAUACUUUACUUAACGCAAAAUUUCGUUUUCUGUGCUGGCGAAUUAGCAACGGAACUUCUUAGUGACAGUUGGAGAAGAUGAACAAAUGCCGCCACAACAAGCGGCUAUAUGCCUAAAGGUUUUCGACCUUGAUAAAAGGCAAGAAGAGGAGUCGAGUUCAUCAAGUCCAGAGUGCCUCCAAAUUCUGCGGAUUUUUACCAACCAAUUUCCCGAAGCAAAGGUACAGUUUAUGCAAUAUAAACACCCUUAUUAUUAAAUGUGUACUUUGUAUAGGCGUGCUUGUGAAGUUAAAAUACCCUUAAAAUGGCUGUUCAACAGAUCACAUCUUUCGUGGUUUUCGAGGAAGCUCCACCGAUUAUAUUUAUUGCACUUGGAUUGGACAACGGUUGUAUUUAUUGCAUUCAAGGCGACAUUGCCCGUGAAAGAAUUAAACGCUUCAAGCUAGAGGUUGACAGUGGUCAGCCUGGCAAAACAAAGUCAGCUAUUACAGGGCUCGGAUUUCGUGUGGAUGGUCAAGCGUUUCAACUCUUUGCUGUCACAUCAAGUUCAGUGAGCUUGUUUAACUUGCAUGCUCAAACACCUACUGGACAAACACUUGAUCACAUUGGUUCCGAAACUGCUAGUGUAGCAAUGAGUGAUCGCUUGGUUGGUUACGCUCUCUUUAUUUCAGUCUUUGUUCUAAAUUAUAAAGUAAAUGAACUAAACUCUUUUUUUUUUCUUCUUUUUUUGGGAAUUAGGAACUGAUUAUUGGUCGGCCCGAAGCUGUGUAUUUCUAUGAAGUUGAUGGCCGAGGCCCGUGUUGGGCUUUUGAGGGAGAGAAAAAGUUCCUCGGCUGGUUUCGUGGGUACCUUUUAUGUGUUAUUGCUGAUCAAAGAACUGGGAAGAAUACUUUCAACAUUUACGAUCUAAAGAACCGUUUAAUAGCCCAUAGUAUCGCAGUUCAAGAAGUUUCCCACAUGCUCUGUGAAUGGGGUACAAUCGUACUCAUAAUGGCCGACAAAUCUGCCCUUUUUAUCGUGGAGAAGGAUAUGGAGAGCAAGUUGGAUUUGCUUUUCAAGAAAAAUCUAUACACGGUAGCUAUUAAUCUUGUCCAGAGCCAGCAAGCUGAUGCUGUGGCAACUGCUGAGGUGCUGAGGAAAUACGGCGACCAUUUGUACAGCAAACAAGACUAUGACGAAGCGAUGGCUCAGUAUAUACUCACGAUCGGUCAUUUAGAACCUUCGUAUGUCAUUCAGAAGUUUUUAGAUGCACAGAGAAUUUACAAUUUAACGAAUUACUUGGAGAAGUUACACGAGAAGGGGCUUGCUUCAAAAGAUCACACCACUCUUUUGCUCAACUGUUACACGAAACUAAAAGACGUUGACAAGCUGGAUCUAUUCAUUAAAAGCGAGGAUGAACAUAAAUUCGAUGUGGAAACUGCGAUAAGGGUAUGCAGAGCUGCUAAUUACCACGAGCACGCGAUGUAUGUUGCAAAGAAGUCAGGGAAGCAUGAAUGGUACUUGAAGAUUUUACUCGAGGACUUGGAUAGGUACGAUGAGGCGUUGCAGUAUAUAAAUAGCCUCGACCCAAGUCAAGCCGGGUUGACCAUUGAAGAGUAUGGGAAGAUUCUCGUAGAGCACAAGCCGAAGGAGACAAUUCAAAUACUGAUGAGGCUUUGUACCGAAGAAGGAGAACCGGCUAAAGGUGGAACCUUUAUAACCAUGCUGCCAUCUCCUGUCGAUUUUCUCAAUAUUUUCGUGCACCAUCCACAGUCGCUUAUGGAAUUUCUCGAAAAAUACACCAACAAAGUGAAGGAUUCUCCUGCUCAAGUCGAAAUCAACAACACGCUAAUGGAGUUGUACUUGUCUCAUGACUUGGACUUCCCUUCUCUUUCACAGACUGGCAGCAAUGAAAACGGCGAUCUUGGAACGAAUAGAGGUUCAAAUGCUGCUGCAACAACUUCAAGAACAGAGAGUAAUGGAAACGUAUUUUCUGAUGAUGCAAUCGAGGAGAAAUAUCGCAAAGAGAGACGUCGAAAAGGGCUGAUCUUGCUGAAAAAUGCUUGGCCCGCCGAACAGGAGCAGCCACUGUACGAUGUCGACCUUGCGAUAAUUCUGUGUGAAAUGAACUCGUUUAAAGAAGGGCUAUUGUAUCUGUACGAGAAGAUGAAACUGUAUAAAGAGGUCAUUGCAUGUUAUAUGCAGGCGCACGAUCACGAAGGUUUAAUUGCGUGCUGCAAGAGAUUAGGGGAUUCGGGUAAGGGCGGUGACGCAUCUCUUUGGGCAGAUCUGUUGAAGUACUUUGGUGAACUUGGAGAAGAUUGCUCGAAAGAAGUCAAAGAAGUUUUGACUUACAUAGAAAGGGAUGACAUGUUGCCUCCCAUUGUAGUUCUUCAAACCUUGUCGAGAAAUCCAUGCCUUACUCUUUCUGUGAUUAAGGAUUAUAUAGCUCGAAAGCUGGAAAAGGAGUCGAAGCUGAUUGAUGAGGAUCGGAUAGCUAUUGAAAAGUAUCAGGUAAUUUUUUCAUUUCACUUAAGGCAUCUUUCUUUUGUCAUUCGAUAAGUAAAGAACUAGAGUUUGUUAUACUGCAAGAACUUACUGACUAUAUCCACUAUCUCAACAUAUACCUGCAUUAUUAUAGAUUGUUUUUGGUUUUGGAUUUUAAAUUCUGCAUUAGGUUUUUAAACGGUGCUUUAGAAGUUUCUUCAAGAAUUUCUGACAGUAUCUAGUUAAGACUGUUCUUCUGCAGUAUACUUUUAGUCUUCUCUUUCAUCUGGUUCCAAAUUUCAAAUUUCUCCAAUAUUAAAUCUUCACUGCUUGUCCGUCUAUAGAAAUGCAGUUGAUUCUUGAUUCCAUUUUAUAUUCUGAUUAUUCAACUGCAAAAUAAAAUACGAGCCGGAUUAUAGAUGAAAUUUGAUUUCCAGGACUUGGCGUCUUCAAAUAUGGUCAUAAUCUAAUGACGUCAUUUGUAGAAUCUUUUCAAUGAUGUCGAUACUUUCAAGAAUCAUCUGUGUACGAAACUUGUUCAAUUUUUGAAGGAGCAAUUGUUUUGUUCCUGCAUUUGCUAUUUUCGGUUUUCUUUGGCCGGUACUGCAAACAUUGUGUGUACAAUAUGUAUUGUAAAAAACAAGCUCAAACCAUUUGUUUAUUUGCAGGAGGAAACAUCAGCCAUGAGAAAAGAAAUCCAAGAUCUUCGGACAAAUGCAAGAAUAUUCCAGCUCAGCAAGUGCACCGCUUGUACUUUCACUCUCGAUCUCCCCGCGGUACAUUUCAUGUGUAUGCACUCUUUUCAUCAACGGUGCCUAGGUGACAACGAGAAAGAAUGUCCAGAGUGUGCUCCCGAGUACAGAUCUGUCUUGGAAACGAAGAGAAACUUAGAACAGAACUCCAAAAACCAAGAUUACUUCUUCCAACAAGUUAGAAGUUCAAAGAAUGGCUUUUCUGUAAUUGCUGAGUAUUUUGGUAAAGGCAUCAUCAGUAAAACUACUAAAGGAUCUUCGGAAGCUAUUAAACCGACCAAUGAUUACUCAAACGGCAGCUUUUGAGAUUUUUUGUUUUCCGGCAAUAAAAGUCGAAAUGAGACAUUAAUAUAUAUAUCUCUCUAUCUUGUUAGUGCUUGAUUUGGUUUGUGAUUUCUUUCCUAUAAACGGUGUUGUAAUUUGGCCGAAAGUGCCGAUAUUACGUGUUGUAGUUUUCGGGUUUUUUUUCUUCUAAUGUAUCAUUGGAUUUGUUGUGCAUUUCUUAGGGUAUGUUUGGUUGAUUCUUUGGUGACAAUUGAAUUAUAGAAACAAGAUGAUUCUUGAAUGAAUUAUUGUGCUAUGUAAUGUAAUAAUCUGAUUUUUUUCUGAGUGGGUUUGGUCAAACAUGAAACCUAUGUUAUAAUAUUUGUUGUUAUAUUACUGGAACUAUAUACUAGCAGUGCUGGUAUGAAAGAUGAAACAUCAUUUCAUGGGCAAGGGUAGUUUGGACAAAGCACAUGAAAAGAAAAAGUAGAUGGGGCCAUUUAAUUCAGCAACAAAAGAGGACAAAAGAUAGUUUAAGUUUUGAGUAGGCCAAACCCCAGUUUCUAAAAAGUUAAAGCCAAACACUUCCCACAAUAAUAAUAAUAAUAAUAAUAAGGGUAAAUUACACCCACACCCUUGUGGUAUGCUUAAAUAAUUUUAAGGACCCUAUGGUAUCGAUAAUUACACUCACCCCUGAAACGUAGUUAAAAACUCUAACGGAUAAUGCAUUGGAUACAUUAUUCCGAUAGGGUUCUAAUGGACUAUUAAUUUUAGCUAGUGGUGGAGAUAAGAUAGAGUUAUGGGGUGACAUGACUCGCCCAAUAUUUCUUAAAUCACCCAUAAAUAUUUGUUGUCUCCACCACUUCCUGAAACCAAUAGUCCAUUAGAACUCUAUCGUAAUAACGUAUCCAAUGCAUUAUCCCAUUAGAGUUUAUAACUACGUUUCAAGGGGGUGAGUGUAAUUAUCGAUACUAUAGGGACAUUAAAGUUAUUUAAGCAUACCUCAGGGGUGUGGGUGUAAUUUACCCUAAUAAUAAUAAUAAAGUAUAAACAACUCUCUCUUUCUCUCCUUUCAAUACUCUCUCUCUCUCUCUCUCUCCUGUUUCUCUCUCUUCCACACAAUACACACAGGUACCAACACACACUGAAUUGAAAGACUUACACGCACUCAUUCAUCACCUAAUGUAGGAAAUCACGACCCUUAAUUCAUCGAUUAUUGGAAGGUUUGGAUUUUGCUUUUACAAUAAUUGCCAUCAACUGUAUUUCUCUACUGUGCUGUACUAAUACAUUUUGUGAUUAAAUUCAUUACUAAUCUCAAUUGCACGCCGUUUGUUGAAUUUUAGGUUACUUUUUUUUUUUCUCUCUCUUUCGAGAAAGGGUUGGUUUCUGCAAAAUGAGCAAAGAAAAAGUGAGGUCACCUGAGCCUCUUGAUUUCUUCAUUUGGACUGUUGAGGUAGUAAAGCUUUCAUUUUUCUUUUUAAUUCUUCAAUUCGUUUUGUUUGAUCUUGUUUUUUAAAUUUUAAUUCUUUGGAUCUUGUAAUUUUUUUGUAAUUCUUUGUGUAUUUAUUUUAUUUUAUUUGAUUAUUUACCUGUUCCAGUUGAUCAAAUUCUUGCUGCUUGCUUGGUUAGUGUUGAUUUUGGGGGUGGGGGUGUUGAAAUAAUCAUGAAAAUAUAUUUUUUUUAAUUGAAGUUUUUGUGUUUAGUCAAUUUAUGGUGUACUGAUUAUUUUAUAAUGUUUUGGUGAUUUUUAGUUUGAAUCUUGACUCUUGUUUCUAAUGAAUGUGCAAAAAAUUGGGUUUGAAAACUGAAUUGUAAAAUGAGUUGGUUAAACUAGCAUUUGAUCCAUGUUAAUUAUAGAGCUAUAUAAACAAAUUACUCUGCUAAGAAAUAAAAUAUGCUUCGUGUUCGUUUGAAGGACCUGAAAAAGAAAAAUAGAAGACAGGGUAAGAGAAUAAUUGUUUAAUGGAAGUAUUUCUCGAUCAAUUUUUCGUUUUUUUGGAUUUAUUUGUUCAUAGGAUGUUGGCCUGUGGUUGGAAGAGAUAAAUCUCGGAAGUUAUCGACAAAUUUUCAAGGAAAAUAGGGUUAAUGGAGAGUAUUUGGAAGGGAUGUCGAUGUUUACGACUGAACAGAUACUUCGGUUCAUAAGGAAGUGCCACAUGAAAUGGGGUGAUUUCAUAACUUUGUGCAAGGAGCUCAGACGAAUAAAAGGUCCCUUUCGCCCUCUCUUCUUACCCUUCUUCCUCUUUAUAUCUGUCUUAACCGUGUAAAAUAUCGUCCGAUCACAUCUUAAACUGCAUCAGUUGCUCGUGAUUAAGUUAAUGGUCCCUCGAUGUUUAUGGUAUUUCUAGUUGAAUCUCUAAUUUGUCAGUUCAAAAGACAUAGUGCCUGUUUGUUUUCUUAAUUGCAAACGUGAUGGAUGAUCAUUACUACAUAAUGAGUUGUAGGAUUUAUAUGUUUAGUGUAUAGACUGAAACUUGAUUAUUGUAUUGUUUUUGUUAUUUAUUCUUUGAUUUCAAAUGCGGAUCGAAGAAAAAGCCAAAAAAAUUAUGACAUCCUCCUUAACUCAUCCACUACUUACACCAACUAUUGCACCAAAUAUAAAGACCAACCCCAGCAUCUAUGGAGAUGAUAUACCAAAAGUCAAUACGCAAAUGUCUAUAUUGCCCUCACCAGCCACAUGACCGAUAAUUUCAAAAAAAAAAAAGAAAAAAAAGAUUAUAUUUAUAGACAUAGCAGUUCAUUAUGGGGAUCUCUCCUGUUAUACACUUAUACUAUUCUGCCUAAUUUGUUUGUGAAAAAUAUCAUCUGAUUUUAUCGUUCUGAUGUUCUUGAAGCUCGUGCUCUUGGUCUUAAUUACAUCAACUAUUUCUGAAAAUUCAGCACAUAUAACAUAGGACCGUCUCUAUUAACAUGGAAUUGCAUAUUUUUUACUGAAUGAUUAUAAUCAUGCAUCAGUGGCUUGCUUGAAAGGGGAGCAAAAGGUACGCAGGCCUUGGUGGGCUUCGUCUUGUCUAUCACUUGUAUUCGUCAAGGCUGAGAAACGCAACAGGCAAUCUCGAGUUGUUUCGUUGAAGCUCGAACCUUGAUCUUGGUUUUCAUGUAUGUAUAUGGGAUGUGUACUUUUCUUAAUUUUUAAUUUCAUGUUCAAGUCUAGAUAUAGGAAAGCUAUACGUAUUUCCUUUUUUUUUUUUUUUUUUUUAUGUCUUAAGUUUUGCUAAGAAAAGUCGGUUCUUCUUCGGAGAACCUUCCCCUUUGUCUCGAGUUCUUCGAGAUCAGGAGAUACUAUUACAGUUUACUUAUGUUUGGGAUUUGUUGAGGGAAAACAUUAUAUAUAAGACAACAUGUUUGGUUCUUGUAUGUUUUAAGUGUCGGAUGUUAUUGUUGUUGAUGUCCGUGGGUGAAUCAGAAACAUCCUCGACGAAAACUUCGAAAUGGAUUUUCAAGUAUUUGUUAAAAUUGUUACAAAAUCGUUAUUUUUACGCCAAAAAACACAUUGUGCUUGUAAAAUCUAGACGUCUAAGGUCACAUUCGGGAUUUCGUAGCUCGGAUGUGUCGUUAGACAUCCAAUUUUUUUCUUUCAAUGUAUAGUCACGAAUUUAUCAAAAUUUAUUUUAGGAUGAACCCCAAAAAAAAAAAAAAAAAGUAAAAACAAAGUCUACAUUAAGGAAUUAAUGUAUUAUAUAUAUAUAUAUAUAAAUGAUUAAAUGUAUAAAUAUAUGGGUAAAUUCCACUUUACUCUCUCGUACUCUGCAUGAGAGUCACUUUACCCCCUCGUACUCUCAAUUUUAUCGAUUUACCUCCUUGUACUCGUACAAUUUCCCAAUACAACCCUUUCCUUCAAUUUUUGCCAAUUUAGACUCUAACGCCAUUUGGUCAACUCUGUAAAUUACAAAAUUGCCACUGCCUAUAAUGCGUCGUUUCUCCUCCGUCAAUAUUGUCAUUUCUUCUUCUCCCACCACUUCCUCUUCCAAGAUAUCCCCAAAUUGAACCCCUAACUUAGUAAAAAUCAAGACCCAAAAAUUGAUCAAUUCCACCCAGUGCAAAGAAAAAAAUAUAUGAAUGUGCGAAACUUUCUCUUUUCUAAUCUCGAGAGUCAAAAUCGAAAAAAUUCAAUAUUUACGUCAAUAUUUUGACUCUUGACCAAAUGGCGUCAGAGUCAAAAUCGAAAAAAGUUGAUGAAGAGGGUUGUAUUGGGAAAUUGUACAAGUACAAGGGGGUAAAUCGACGAAAUUAAGAGUACGAGGGGGUAAAGUGGUUCUUGGGCAGAGUACAAGGGGGUAAAGUGGAAUUUACCCUAAAUAUAUAGAACAAAAAUCAACAAAUGGUUUUAUAAUUAUAGAGAUGCAAACUUCAAAUACCAAGUUGUACUUUGGGUAAAACUUGUUCAAAAUUCAAAUGAAACUAUGAAUUGUUGCUAUGUUGGAGGAACUCUAUUUUAAAAAUUAAAAUUUACAGAAAUACCCUCCACCAUUACCAAAAUUCAAAAAAUGACUGACAAAAAAACAGAAAAUAGAACGAGCUUCUCCUCUGAAACAAAACCCUAAACCCCAUAACCAGAAGCAGUGAAGACGAUUGAUUCGAACAUUAGCAGCUAUGUUCUCUCCCCCCACUAAAAAGUCCAGCUUAACUUCACGCAAAAAUGUCGCUAACCGAAGUGAUGAUAUUUCCACCCCGCUCGCCGACAAUCGACGACAACUGCUCGACAGUCCCGCCGUCCCCAAUCGCCCCACCACCGGAACCCCUGCCCCUUGGUCUUCGCGCCUUUCCGUCCUCGCCAGGUAUUAUCAAAUGCAUAUGCGCCUAAUCACUUCUCUCUCUCUCUCUCUCUCUCUCUCUCGUUCAUAUGUUGAGAUUAGCUCUGGGAGAACAGAUAUACGUUUUAAUUUGGACAUUUGUGCUCUGUUGCUUGUUUCAUGAUUUUGUCAUUUCCAUUGCAAGUGAUAGUGGCAAUAGGGUUUACGCAUAUCAAUUAUAAUUUUUUUUUGUAUGUAGGUAUCCUGAAAAUUACGAGGAGUUGACAGGAGAAUCGUGAUUUAUAUGUUAUACUUUAUGCUCUAGUCUCUCNNNNNNNNNNNNNNNNNNNNNNNNNNNNNNNNNNNNNNNNNNNNNNNNNNNNNNNNNNNNNNNNNNNNNNNNNNNNNNNNNNNNNNNNNNNNNNNNNNNNGUUCGGAGAGACUAGAGCAAUAGGUCACAAAUUUCGUUAUUACUUGGCCUUCUGAAUCUGCUUUUCUGGAUAUUCUACCACAAAUUUCUAAUGCAAAUUUGUUACAGUAAUAACCUUCCUAAAUCCUUCCAGGGGAUGUUGGUUGUCUGUUUGGAUGCUAUUGUAUCAUCCUUUAAUUUUGUUGAUUUUGUUGAGAAUGCAUGGUAGAUUGUAGAUGUGGAAACAUGAAAAAAGAUAAGGAAAGACUGUGUCAUGCCUUUGUUUGAUUUGACGUUGGCUUGUCUUUUCAGAAUCACACCUGCAAAGAGAAGUGACAGAGGAGAUGAGGUAGAUGCUGUUCAGCCUGUAUAUGUUGGGGAGUUCCCUCAAAUAGUACGUGAAGCGCAAAUCACGCUAUCACAAAAUCGUGUUUCUGGUUGGUCCAACUUAUUCCCAAAAUACAUAAUAUGGUUAGAUUUGUUUCAAUUUCUUUCUAAAGAUUUUAAUAUUAGUCCAUCUGGCAGCUGAUACAUCUAUCUCUGGUGGAAUGGACAAGGUAACAUCUCUAGCGUGGAUUAUCUGUGGAAACAGGGUCUUUGUCUGGAAUUACUUAUUACCUGCUGCUUCAAGAAAAUGUAUUGUCCUUGACCUUAAUUCUUGCAUAUCAGAAAGUGGAGACACGGACAAAAGUUCGUAUCAAACUAACAAUUGGUUAGUCUGUAUUGUUAACUGGGACACCUCAAAGAAAACUGGUAUCAGUGUUGCUCAACAGACCAAUUCUGCAGGGAUUGUUAUGUGUAACAGAAAAACUCGCUCUCUAAUUUUCUGGCCAGAUAUACAUAAUGCUAACAGGGUCCCUCCAGUCACUUCGGCUGCUUUUUCGGAGGUAGAAGUGAUUUAUCCACGACAAAAUGGAAAAUCCAUCUCAAGCAAGCAGAGGCAAAUUGGCAACAAUGGUGCAAAAUCUUGUUUUGUCAACUCUUUGAUUGCCUCAGCAAUUCCUGCUGCCACCAACAGUUGUGUUGCUAUUGCAUGUUGUUCGAAUGGUAUGCUUUGGAGAUUUCUCUGCCGCCCUUCUGGUAUUCAUUGUGACCAGAUUGAGCAUGGCAUGUCAAAUAUAUUUUAUCAAGGAAGUGAUAAUAGCACACUUGUGGCAAGCAAGGGUUAUCCAAGGUCAUUGAUCUGGCACUCUUUUAGUCAUUCAUCAUCGGACACCACGAGACAGUUCCUUCUACUAACUAAUCACGAGAUACAGUGCUUUGAAGUAAUUUUUUUUUCUGAAUUUGACGUGUCAAAGCUUUGGUCACAUGAAAUUGUUGGCACCGACGGUGAUUUGGGUAUUCAGAAGGAUCUUGCUGGACAAAAGAGAAUUUGGCCUCUUGAUUUGGAUGUUGAUUGUGAUGGCAAGGUUAUAACUAUUCUUAUUGCUAUCUUUUGCAAGGAUCGGGGGGUCACCAGUUCAAGCUACACUGAAUACUCUCUGCUGACCAUGCAAUAUAAAUCUGGAGUAGAUAUUGCGAAGCCAAUAGGUGAAAACAUAUUGGAGAAAAAGGCUCCUAUCCAAGUGAUUAUACCUAAAGCUAGAGUAGAGGAUGAAGAUGUUUUAUUCUCAAUGAGAUUAAAGGUAGGUGGAAAGCCAGCUGGCUCUGCUAUGAUUCUCUCAGGUGAUGGUACUGCAACUGUUUCCCACUAUUGGAGAAACUCCACCAGACUCCAUCAGUUUGAUCUGCCUUAUGAUGCUGGAAAAGUUCUUGAUGCUUCAGUAUUCCCAUCGGCAGACGACAGUGAAGAUGGAGCUUGGGUUGUACUCACAGAGAAAGCUGGAGUUUGGGCUAUACCUGAGAGGGCUGUCUUAAUGGGUGGAGUUGAACCACCUGAAAGAAGCUUGUCUCGUAAAGGGAGUUCUAAUGAUGGACCUUUACAGGACGAGAGAAGAAACUUCUCUGGUGCCGGAAACAUUGCUCCAAGAAGAGCCAAUUCAGAAGCUUGGGAUGCAGGAGAUAGGCAAAGGACGAGCAUGGCUGGAGUUGUGCGUAGAAGCCCUCAAGAUGAAGAAUCAGAAGCUUUACUGAGUCAGCUUUUCCAUGAUUUUCUCUUGUCUGGGAAGGUUGAUGGCGCACUUGACAAACUUAGAAAUUCAAGAGCAUUUGAAAGAGAGGGCGAAACAAAUGUAUUUACCAGGACAAGCAAAUCAAUUGUUGACACUUUAGCUAAACAUUGGACAACAACCAGGGGCCCUGAGAUUGCUUUGUCUGUUGUGUCCACACAACUUGCAGAGAAGCAACAGAAGCAUCAAAAGUUCCUUCAGUUCCUUGCUUUGUCCAAAUGCCAUGAGGAAUUGUGUUCCCACCAGAGUAUGUCAAUUGUUUCCAAUAUAUUUAGUUUCUGGCUAUCCUUCCAUGAUGUUAUUUUAUUAUGAAUAUCUGGUUACUUUGUUCUGAUAUUAUUAAUCUACAGAAUCUUAAGGAUGCUUGCAUUUAUAAGGUGGUACUUAAUAUGUUCUAAUUUUCAUGCCCAAAACAGUCAGAUUUUUUUCUCAGUUUGUUUAACCAUUGACCUGUCACUGACUUGAUGAAGUAGCUAAAAUAAUCCGUAUUGUGUAUAUGCACUAGACUUCUGAUUGUCCAUAAAUGCUGCUGUUUUAAACGUUUCUCCACAUUUGCUGAUUAAUUAUAAACCUACUAUCAAAUCUAAAUAAUUGUUUACUGACCAGGGCAAUCUAUGCAAAUUAUCAUGGAACAUGGGGAAAGGCUUGCCGGCAUGAUCCAACUGAGAGAACUGCAAAACACGAUUAGUCAUGCCAAUGCAUCCGGAUCUGGCUCUUAUCAUGCGUCAGAUGCUCGAACUUCAGGAGCUCUUUGGGAUCUUAUCCAGUUAGUCGGUGAGAGAGCUCGCCGGAACACAGUUCUUUUGAUGGAUAGGGAUAACUCUGAAGUAUUUUAUAGUAAAGUUUCCGACAUUGAGGAAGUAUUCCAUUGCUUAGAGAGACAGCUUGAAUAUGUCAUCAGUAUAGAUAUGCCGAUUCUUGUUCAAUUUCAAAGUUCUUGUGAACUCUCAGAUGCUUGUGUGACGUUAUUCCGUGCAGCCAUCGAAUAUAGGAGUGAGCAUCAUUUGUGGUAUCCUCCACCCGAGGGCUUGAUACCAUGGUACUCCAAAAACAUUGUGUGGAGUGGGCUCUGGACUCUGGCGUCAUUCAUGGUUCAGUUGCUCAAUGAAACAAAUCGCCUUGAUGAUUCUGCAAGGGUUGAUUUUUAUUCGAAUCUUGAAGUCCUCUCGGAAGUAUUACUUGAGUCGUAUUCUACUGCUAUCACAGCAAAAAUUGAACGAAAGGAAGAACACAGGACUCUAUUAGAGGAAUACUGGAACCGCAGAGAUGUCCUUCUUGACUCCCUUUAUCAACAAGUGAAAUCUUUUGUCCAAUCAAAACUCCAGGUUGGUUUUUUUUCUUUUUUUUUUUUUUUAAUAAUUAAAUUCCCUGGUAGAAGCUUCGUACGAGGUUCGGAAAUAGCAAGAAUAGUUGAACCUUUUCGUACCAUAUGAUCCUCUUCCAUCUUGAUGAUUUUAUGUAUUACUUUCCAAUCCAUGUCCCAUCUUAAGUAUACAGUGGAACUGCCAAUGUAGUUUUAGAUUAUAAUUAAAAAAGGGAAUGUCUUUAAUAUGUUUACGACUUAACUUUAUUGCUCUAAAAAAUAUUGUCAUAUAUGUUGUUAGAGAGUCAACACUCCACAUCAUUACUAUCAGUGAGAUGGUGUUUUAGGAAAUAGACCAUUAAUUUGGAAGUCCAACCUUGGUGCAUUCUUUUGCUACACCAUCUAAUGUUUAUAGUUGCCCAAUAUAUAGUUGUUUAUUGAAACAUUAAAGUUUAAGUUGAAAUGUAAAUAUAUAAUAGCUAGUGCAUGGAUGAAAGUACUAUGUAUAGUUCACUUUGGAAAACGAAAAUCUAGAAAUAGGCCACUUCCCAACAUUAACUAUACAUCUUUGUAAACAUUGUUGCUUGAAGGGAAGAAAUAUAUACUCUUCGAUAUGGAGGAAUAUAUGUGGAUCACAUCCAUAAUACAUUCGUAAUGUUGCAGGAUUCAGCUGUGGAAAACGAAGAACAGAACAAGGAUACUCUCAUGAAACUUUCUUCAAAGCUAUUAUCUAUUGCAAAGCGUCACGAGGGGUAUCAAACUAUGUGGAGCAUUUGCUGUGACCUGAAUCAUUCUGAACUCCUUCAAAGUCUCAUGGUAUGACUAAAUACUAUUAAGUUACCGUUAGUGCAACCCCACUGCUUACAGAGGCAAAGGCUUGGGCCUACUUGUUGUGGAUGCUGUUUCGUUUACUUUACAAAAAUAUAUGUAUAUAUAUUUUUUGUCAUUAGUAUUCCAGAGUUGUGAUGGGUCAUUUUGCACGUAAUGUUCUAAUUGCUCAAUCUUCUGUGCACCUUAUUUUUUUUACUCAAAAUAAAACCUUUUGUUUUGUAGCAAGAAAGUAUGGGUCCUAGAGGAGGUUUCAGUUGCUUUGUCUUCAAACAACUCUACGAAAGCAAACAGUUUUCGAAGCUUAUAAGGCUGGGCGAGGAGUUCCAGGCUGAGCUAGCUACAUUUCUGAAGCAGCAUCCAGAUCUUCUCUGGCUUCAUGAAGUGUUUCUUCAUCAAUUUUCCUCAGCUUCCGAAACUUUACAUGCAUUAUCUCUUUCUAAGGAUGAUGCAUCAAUUUCAACUAUUGACGAUACUGAAUCUAGCAGCUCGGGGCGUCAAUUAACUUUGGCGAACAGAAAGCAUUUUCUGAAUUUAGCAAAAAUAUCUGCAAUGGCAGGUAUUUUGCCCACCUGUAGUAUAUCCUUUUUCUGCCUUAGUGUCUCAUGUUAGAAAAUAUGUUUUUUGCAAACUAUACAUGCUUGUCUGUGAGUAGUAUGAUGAGAUAUUGAAUCUAAGUGGUCCCCCUUUCCACUUAUUGCUGCCAAGAAUGUGGUGUUCACAGCUACAAAUACCGUCUAAAUGCAUUUUUCUCAAAUAUCUUGCUGGGCGAUGACCAAGAAUUUAAUGAAAAAAAACUCUGUAUAAAUUUCUGACAAUAAAAAAGUACAUGCACUGAUUCAAUUAGAGAUAAAACAUAUAUAAAAUGGGAUAAAUACAAUUUAUUCAACCAUGCAGAAAGGAACAUGAUCAAAGUGUGACAGAAUAGUUUUUAGUAAUUGUGAUUGCUGGGCUAGUAAUUUCACGAUUGCAGAUGUAUGACUUAGUAGAGCAUGUGAGACAGAUCUAUUUUCACCUGAAUAGUGAUGUCAAUAUGUGAAAAUUUUCAGGAAGAAAGGAUGCGUACGAGCUAAAGAUGCAACGGAUCGAAGCAGAUCUGAACAUUUUACAGCUACAGGUAUGCUAAUGUACCAAAUUUUUAAUUGAUUGAAUCCUUUCUGAGGCUCGGAAACCCUUGGGAAUUCCUUAUUAUGCAGUUAAUCUGCAUAAAAAAAAUCAGCGGUCGGAUUCUUGGGAGUGUAUUCUCUAAAUUAUUUUCCAUAUUAAAUUUUUAAUUUACACUGGCUAAUUGACUAAGGCAGGGAUGUUUGAAUUUUCUCCCUCUAUUAUAAUUACGAAGAGUUCAAGUCUUUUCAGUUUGCACAUUUGUGUUAUACACGAAACAGCCUGUAAAUGUUGUUCUGUUGGAGCACGUUUUGUUGUUUUGAGGAAGGAUCGAUCAUAUUUGUGUUUAUCAGAUUUAUUCUGAUAUGAAAAUUAGUAAUUAAAAUUUUGGACAAAUAAAAAGUGGAUAUUCGAAGAUUUCGUAAUUCUAAAACUUAGCGGAAUGGACAAAUAUCUUUGUAUUUCGGAAAAAACUCUGGAACAUUUUGGAACGUAGGAUAUCCCUGCAAAGCUUCAUCAGAGAUCUGGUUUUCCUUCGAGUUGCAAGGGUGCAAAUGUAAUUAAGGUUUUAUUUCGGCUGAUGAAUGUAUGUUUUUGGCUUCUAUACUGGUGACUAGUGAGUUUGUUCUGUGAAAUUCUCAAAACACCAAUUGUUACUAUUAGUGAACUUUAGACUCCGAGCACUUGAAUUCAUCCAAGUUUAAAUCUAGCUGGAGAUUUGAUCAAAGCCUUAUCAUCGCUUCUCAACGUGACAUAUUCAUCUGUCCUUUAUUAUCACUCCAUUUGUUCUCUUUAUAGUUUAUGCUUACAAAUGGACAUUUGAAAAUUGAGAUUUGUAUUUAAAUGCAGGCCCUGGCCUGGAGAUUAAAAUCCUUAAAUAGCACAAUUUCGCUUUUUUCAGAAUUACAAGAACUUUCAUUCAGACUAACUUCCGUGUCUUACAGGAAGAAAUAUUGAGGCAAACACCAGAUAACGAGGAAAAACAAUCAAUUGAAGAGAAGCUUCUUCCUCCAAUUGACCUCAUCGAAUUGUGUCUCAAAAUCCAAACACGGGAUCUUUCAUUACGAGCCUUUGAUCUUUUCUCAUGGACCAGUGCCUCCUUUCUUAGAAGCAAUACGAACCUAUUGGAAGAAUGCUGGAGGAACGCUGCAAAUCAAGAUGAUUGGGAAAAACUGUACCAAAUGUCUAUGACCGAGGGAUGGAGCGACGAGACGACUGUGGACAUUCUUAAGGAAACAAUACUUUUUCAAGCCUCCAGCAAGUGUUAUGGGCCAGUGGCAGAAAAUCUUGAUGUUAAAUUCGAACAAGUUCUUCCACUGAGCCAAGAAAGUACCGAACACUCUGUAGAAGCUGUUCUCAGACAGCACAAAGAUUUCCCAGAUGCAGGGAAACUGAUGGUGAUGGCGAUUAUGCAUGGCAGUUUUUCGGUGGGUCCCACUGGAACGGACUACGAAGAUGAUUAUCCCAUGGAGUGAAAUAAUUGUUAUAAGGUAUGGGUUUAUUUGACUUGUGUAGUAUUUUCAAGAGUCUCUUUAAUUGCGAGGGGGUGUAGUAUUUUCUGGAAUUCUCGAACUCUGGAAUUUUGAAGUGGAUAUACGAGAUUGAUUAGAUUAAAAACAUGAUCAUGGUAAAAAAAGGCUCAACGAAACGGAAAGAGCAAUUCUCAUGUUCUUGAUUGUAGCUGUCAAAAUUGCUGUUGCUGGGUACUAGAUGUGUAAGCUUGUAUGGAUAGCAUGAAACGGAAAACAAUUUUUAAUAUGUCGUUUAAGUCGAAGUUUCUGUACCUGAGAAAUGCUAUACUGCAUCGAGAUACAAGUUGUAUGAUAGAUAUAUUUAUUCUCUAACCAACUGUAAGUAGGAGAAUUGGUAUUAUCUAAUACUGAGUAUUAUGUGUGACAUCUUGUUAUUUACUUUGCCGGGUGAAAUUUUGUAAGCCAAAAGGCGAAUAAUUCAUCAACCGUAAACGUGCAGAAAUUAGUUACCUAAAAGAGGAUUUUGUGCACAAAUUGAUGAUAAUUUGUCAGUGGUAAGUUAUGUGUAUUAAUAUUUAUAAAUCAUAAUGAAUAAACAGUCCAACCAACCAUAGUUAAAAUUUAAAACAUAGAUUGAUAUUAUGAAUGACACACAAUCUUUGAUCCAAUAUUGAUAUUGACAAUUAUAUAAAUAAAUAAAUAUUCAUAAGUCCCAUAUAAAAAGAAAAUAAGCAGAAUAGGAUUUCCCAUAUUUUUCAGUGGAAUUAAAUUAAAUGUGUGCUUGUGGAAUGUGUUGUGCCAUUGUGUGUGUGACUGUGUUUUUCGUGCACCAAGUGACAUGGCACUUUAAUUGGCUGAGAAUGGAUUACAUUUAGCAACAAAACUCCAAAUCAGAAUUCCCAAUGCCACAUGGCCAAAUGAAGACCUAGACUUCUCUUUAAACAAAAAUCUGGAGGGAAAUCUUGAUCCACCAAAACCAACCAAUCAGCUAAUGCUGACGUGUAGAUAUUGCAAUCCACAACAUAAUCCCAACUUCUAUUUAUACCCUCUUUGCACCACCCUUAUUCCUCACCACCAUCGAGCACAACAAACAAAAUCAAUUAGCAACAAAAAGAAAAAAAAAAACAAAAAAAAAAAAUGGCAACUUCAGCAAUUCAACAAUCUGCAUUCAGUGGGAAGACUGCUUUGAAGCCACAAAAUGAGCUGAUCAGGAAGAUCGGCAACGUCGGCGGCGGCCGCUUCACCAUGAGACGUACCGUCAAGAGCGCCCCUCAGAGCAUAUGGUAUAAUUUCCGCAAUUCGGUAAAUUUAUUAUUAAUUAAUUAUAUAUCUCAAUUUAUCGAAAAUAGGUACAGUUUCAAAAAUAUGGUUUGAUUUAGUGUAACAUGUAAAAUUUAUGUGUUUCAUCUAAUAAUAAUAAUGUGUAAUUUACUAUAAUUUUUAUUAUAUAUCUUGAUGAUUUAGGUACGGAGAAGACAGGCCCAAGUACUUGGGCCCAUUCUCCGAGCAGACCCCAUCGUACCUCACCGGUGAAUUCCCCGGUGACUACGGAUGGGACACUGCUGGGCUCUCGGCAGAUCCCGAGACAUUCGCCAAGAACCGUGAGCUGGAGGUGAUCCACAGUAGGUGGGCCAUGCUCGGCGCUCUGGGAUGCGUCUUCCCAGAGGUUCUAUCAAAGAACGGUGUCAAAUUUGGAGAGGCAGUGUGGUUCAAGGCCGGGUCACAGAUCUUCUCCGAAGGUGGGCUCGACUAUUUGGGAAACCCUAACCUCGUCCACGCACAGAGCAUUUUGGCCAUAUGGGCCACCCAAGUUGUGCUAAUGGGCUUUGUUGAGGGUUACAGAGUUGGAGGGGGCCCACUAGGAGAGGGGCUCGACAAGGUGUACCCGGGCGGGUCUUUUGACCCGUUGGGUCUAGCCGAGGACCCGGAAGCCUUUGCUGAGUUGAAGGUUAAGGAACUCAAGAACGGGAGAUUGGCUAUGUUUUCCAUGUUUGGGUUCUUUGUCCAAGCGAUUGUCACCGGAAAGGGUCCGAUUGAGAACCUUUUUGACCAUCUUGCCGACCCCGUUGCAAACAAUGCUUGGGCCUUCGCCACUAACUUUGUGCCCGGAAAAUGAGAGUGAACACAAGAUUUGCUUUUGAUGAAGUUGUAAAGUGUGGGAUUUAAUUUGCUUUUGAUGUAAUAGUGGAAUGGUUGGACUUUCAAUUUAAUGUAUAUUUGGCAUCUUUUUUCCUUACAUCUUGUUGCACGGUUUAUUCUAUGCUACACCGGGUAGAUCUUUAGCAUUUAUAAGCACACAAACACACACACACAUCUAUAUUGGUGUGUGUAGAUCAACGGUAAAAAAUCACCCGAACCUUCAUCAGGUGUAGCAUAGAAAUAACCCUUGCUACACUAGAUGGAACUGCAUUCUUUUUGCAUGCCAUACUAUAGUAGGAAACUAAAUCUUUAAGGGAUAACCAACUUCAAAUGGAACGAGUGAAACCGAUUUGUAGGAAGGCCAACCGAGUGAAGCUCUUUUUUAUGGCCGUGCGGUGAAGUGAAAUUGUAUUGUAUGUUAGUUAGAGAGGUUGACGAACUACUACGAUCUAUAGAUUCCCCAUCUAUAUCCAAUCCCAACGAGAAUAGAAGCCGGGUCGCUUCCGGAACUUGGCAGACUUGUGCUUCAAAUCCAGAAACACUUUCUUAUAGAUUGCAUUCUCAAUCUCAUAUGUACUCAUGUUUACAAGGUUACAUUUGAUUUAAGCAUGAAUGUUGGAUUAGCAUUUAAGAUUUCAAUUACAUCAUUUCUUUAAAUGCUUUAUGAAUUAUAAACAAAUAAAAUUUUCAUGUAAAAAGAGAAAAAAAUGAUAGGUCGAGCAUAUUUCACAAGACAAAUAAUAAAAUUAUUUAUAAUUUUAUUCUUUAUGUCGAUAAAAAAAAUAUAUGAAAUAUGAUAAUCAUAAAAUUUUUAAGUGAUUAUUCUAUUUUUAAACUCAUUGUCUUCGUAUAAUCUCCGGGUGCAUGUGUUUGAUCUACGAGUGGAAAUCGUGCGGAUCAAAAUUGAAUCGGCAUUACCAAUCUUUGCAAAUUCCAUUUGUUUGGAAGUGAAAACUAAUUCAAUUAUGGUCCCAAAAAAUGGAAGGAAAAAAAUAUCGGAAUUUUAGAAAUUAGAAUGAAAAAACUCAUUCGACUUUUAAUAUUAUAUUGAAAAUUGGCCGAAUUUGAAGUAAAUUAAAAUUGGAUCGAGAAUCGAAAUCUCAUACAUAUAUAUAUAUAUAUAUAUAUAUAUAUAUAUAUAUAUAUAUAUAUAUAUAUAUAUAUAUAUAUAUAUAUAUAUAUAUAUAUAUAUAUAUAUAUAUAUAUAUAUAUAUAUAUAUAUAUAUAUAUAUAUAUAUAUAUAUAUAUAUAUAUAUAUAUAUAUAUAUAUAUAUAUAUAUAUAUAUAUAUAUAUAUAUAUAUAUAUAUAUAUAUAUAUAUAUCCGCCCCAGUGUGUGAGUGUCUAUGUGUAUAUCUCUCACACACACACACUAAUAUUUUUAAGAUAUCAUUUUUUUGAGAAAAAUCUUUAUUUAUAAGAAUUAUUGUCUAUCACUCUAGAGAUUAUAUAUGAGUGUGACAAACUCUCUAUAUGCCUCAUUCUAAAUAAAAUAGCGAGAUGUGCUGGUUGUGAGAGACACACUCGCUCGCACACUCAGGGGCAACAAUAUACAUAUAUGUGUGGGGAGAUAGUGACUCACGCGCACACACCCAUAGACGCUCAACUCUAUUUUUCACNNNNNNNNNNNNNNNNNNNNNNNNNNNNNNNNNNNNNNNNNNNNNNNNNNNNNNNNNNNNNNNNNNNNNNNNNNNNNNNNNNNNNNNNNNNNNNNNNNNNNNNNNNNNNNNNNNNNNNNNNNNNNNNNNNNNNNNNNNNNNNNNNNNNNNNNNNNNNNNNNNNNNNNNNNNNNNNNNNNNNNNNNNNNNNNNNNNNNNNNNNNNNNNNNNNNNNNNNNNNNNNNNNNNNNNNNNNNNNNNNNNNNNNNNNNNNNNNNNNNNNNNNNNNNNNNNNNNNNNNNNNNNNNNNNNNNNNNNNNNNNNNNNNNNNNNNNNNNNNNNNNNNNNNNNNNNNNNNNNNNNNNNNNNNNNNNNNNNNNNNNNNNNNNNNNNNNNNNNNNNNNNNNNNNNNNNNNNNNNNNNNNNNNNNNNNNNNNNNNNNNNNNNNNNNNNNNNNNNNNNNNNNNNNNNNNNNNNNNNNNNNNNNNNNNNNNNNNNNNNNNNNNNNNNNNNNNNNNNNNNNNNNNNNNNNNNNNNNNNNNNNNNNNNNNNNNNNNNNNNNNNNNNNNNNNNNNNNNNNNNNNNNNNNNNNNNNNNNNNNNNNNNNNNNNNNNNNNNNNNNNNNNNNNNNNNNNNNNNNNNNNNNNNNNNNNNNNNNNNNNNNNNNNNNNNNNNNNNNNNNNNNNNNNNNNNNNNNNNNNNNNNNNNNNNNNNNNNNNNNNNNNNNNNNNNNNNNNNNNNNNNNNNNNNNNNNNNNNNNNNNNNNNNNNNNNNNNNNNNNNNNNNNNNNNNNNNNNNNNNNNNNNNNNNNNNNNNNNNNNNNNNNNNNNNNNNNNNNNNNNNNNNNNNNNNNNNNNNNNNNNNNNNNNNNNNNNNNNNNNNNNNNNNNNNNNNNNNNNNNNNNNNNNNNNNNNNNNNNNNNNNNNNNNNNNNNNNNNNNNNNNNNNNNNNNNNNNNNNNNNNNNNNNNNNNNNNNNNNNNNNNNNNNNNNNNNNNNNNNNNNNNNNNNNNNNNNNNNNNNNNNNNNNNNNNNNNNNNNNNNNNNNNNNNNNNNNNNNNNNNNNNNNNNNNNNNNNNNNNNNNNNNNNNNNNNNNNNNNNNNNNNNNNNNNNNNNNNNNNNNNNNNNNNNNNNNNNNNNNNNNNNNNNNNNNNNNNNNNNNNNNNNNNNNNNNNNNNNNNNNNNNNNNNNNNNNNNNNNNNNNNNNNNNNNNNNNNNNNNNNNNNNNNNNNNNNNNNNNNNNNNNNNNNNNNNNNNNNNNNNNNNNNNNNNNNNNNNNNNNNNNNNNNNNNNNNNNNNNNNNNNNNNNNNNNNNNNNNNNNNNNNNNNNNNNNNNNNNNNNNNNNNNNNNNNNNNNNNNNNNNNNNNNNNNNNNNNNNNNNNNNNNNNNNNNNNNNNNNNNNNNNNNNNNNNNNNNNNNNNNNNNNNNNNNNNNNNNNNNNNNNNNNNNNNNNNNNNNNNNNNNNNNNNNNNNNNNNNNNNNNNNNNNNNNNNNNNNNNNNNNNNNNNNNNNNNNNNNNNNNNNNNNNNNNNNNNNNNNNNNNNNNNNNNNNNNNNNNNNNNNNNNNNNNNNNNNNNNNNNNNNNNNNNNNNNNNNNNNNNNNNNNNNNNNNNNNNNNNNNNNNNNNNNNNNNNNNNNNNNNNNNNNNNNNNNNNNNNNNNNNNNNNNNNNNNNNNNNNNNNNNNNNNNNNNNNNNNNNNNNNNNNNNNNNNNNNNNNNNNNNNNNNNNNNNNNNNNNNNNNNNNNNNNNNNNNNNNNNNNNNNNNNNNNNNNNNNNNNNNNNNNNNNNNNNNNNNNNNNNNNNNNNNNNNNNNNNNNNNNNNNNNNNNNNNNNNNNNNNNNNNNNNNNNNNNNNCAUCACAGCAUUGCUCGAGUAUGGGCGUGUGGAUGAGCCUAUCUCUCUCUUUGCGAGCAUGAGAGAGAAGGGUUUGCAGCCCAAUGCGCAGACAUAUACUGCUCUGAUCACUGGGUUUGGCAAAAAUCGAGCCAACUCGAACUAGCACUAACGGGUUGUACCACAAGAUGGUGAGGGAAGGCUUGGUACCCUUACGACUAUCACGGUAUAAUGCUCUCAUAAAUGAAUUGUGUGAGGGAGGGAAACUAGUUUCUGCUAUCAAGAUAUUUGAUUGGAUGGGGCGGCAUGUUCGCUUGGCUGGGACUGAAACUUUAUAAUGCGAUGAUAAAAGGAUUCUGUUUGAUUGGAAAUGUUGAGAGGGCCAUGAUACUAUAUGAUGAAAUGCUGAAGGUGGGUCCCGCUCCAAAUGUGAUCACAUAUAACACGCUCGUCAAUGGAUAUGCGAAACGCGGUUAUCUAGACAAUGCCAGGAGGUUGAUGGAGGUGAUGAAGGAAAAUGGAUGUAAGCCCGAUCAAGUGACGUACACGGAACUUGUUUCUGGAUAUUGCAAAGGGGAUAAACUUGACGUUGCUUCUGAGUUAUUUCAGGAAAUGAUGCAGCAAGGUUUGACCCCGAAUUUGAUUAACUAUAGCGCUUUGAUCGAUGGUCUAAGCAAGAAAGGGAAAGUUGAUGAUGCGUUGAUUUUGUUUAAAAGGAUGCAAGAGAUUGGUUGCCGUCCAAAUAUUGAAGUUUAUAAUGCUGUUCUUAAUGGGUUUUCUAAAGAAGGUAGGUUAUCCGAAGCAGAGAAACUAUGCAGUAAGAUGGCAGAGUGUGGGCUGCUUCCGAAUGUAAUUACAUACUCGACUUUAAUCGAUGGUCUCUGCAAGAAUGGUGGGAUAGAUCUCGCUCUCAAGAUUUUUCAUGAAAUGGAGAGAAGAAAUUGCUUACCAAACUUGUACACGUAUAGUUCAUUGAUCUACGGCCAGUGUCAGGUAGGCCGGGUUGAUGAUGCAGAGAUAAUGCUCGAAGAAAUGGUGAUUAAAAAAUUAUAUCCUGACGAGGUUACAUAUACCUCGUUGAUUGAUGGAUUAGCUUCCCUAGGUAGACUCGAUAGUGCAUUUUCGCUUCUUCGUCGAAUGAUACAUGCAGGCUGCAAACCAAACUACAGGACCUACUGUGUGUUGUUGAUAGGGAUGCAGAAAAAAAUGGCGGUCCAACAUGAAACUGUUCAUAGUCACACUAUAGAUGCAAAAUGUGUUAUUUUUGAAACCUUUUGCAAUCUGUUAGUUAAGAUGUCUGAGAUGGGCUGUGAACCUUGUACCGAUACAUAUUACAUCUUGAUUGCUGGUCUGUGUCGUGAUGGAAGAAGUUACGAGGCAGAUAAGUUGGUCGAAUUUAUGGAGGAGAAAGGGCUGAGUCCUAACGAGGCAAUAUAUUGCUCUCUCCUCGGUGCUUAUUGCAAGAAUUUGAGAGUAGAUGCUGCUCUAGAUAUACUUAAUUUGCUGACUGUGAGAGGGUUCAAGCCCCCUUUAUCAAUUUACGCAGCUACUAUAUCCGCUCUCUGCAAAAGAGAACGGAUCGAAGAGGCUGAAGUGGUGUUCGAAGACAUGCUUGAGAAACAAUGGAAUGGCGAUGAGAUUGUGUGGACUGUAUUGAUUGAUGGCCUGCUUAAGAAAGGGAAACCGGAAGUGUGCUCGAAACUUCUUCAUGUAAUGAACUCGAAAAGCGUCCCUAUAAGUAAGCAGACAUAUCUGAUGCUAGCAAGGGAGAUGUCCAAAGCUAACAAAUUAGUCGAGGAAAACCGAGUUGAUGAAGAAUUGCAAGUCCUAGGAGACCAAAGACCAGGAUAAGGUCCUGUUUGAGUUACCGAACAGAACAAAUGCAUCCUUAUUCGAUAUUCCUCGUAUUUGCUGAAUCAGAGGCUGGGAUGCCCUUUCUGCGACACCUGUAGAAAGGAUAUCAAGUUAAAACUGCAAUCAAGUAAGUGGUAAGCUGAUUAUGCUAUUCUAUAUACAGUUUAAUUAUGUUUUCUCGUCUUUUUUUUCUUCAUGGUUUGUAUAGCCGAGCCUAUUCGGGAAAGAAAGUUGAUUUGACAAUAAUAAUUAAUUUAAUCUUUUGUUGGUCUUCUACCUACCAUUUGCUUUUGUUUCUGAUUUUUGAUUAUUUAUAAUGUAGAUCAUAUUAUUACUCGCAUAUGGAGCUGCGCAAUUCCUGGGAUCGAUCUCAUGCAUUUGUCGUCGUUCUAGGAUGAGAGAUUUGGCUUAAUGACUGGUCCACUGAUAAUUUCAGGUAAUACUUUGAUCCUUAAUUUUGUAUUAUUAACAUAAGCGUUUGGGGUUUGAACUCGAUUUUAUGGCACUGAAAAGAUAUAAUUGUGUUUUUGAAUAACAGCAUUAGUUGCAAAUACACUCUCCUUUAAAGGCACUUGCGAGUUUAUAGCUGUUUAUAUCGAAGGUCAACAUGGCAAAGUUAAAGCACUAAAAAAGCACUACUCGUUGAGGUUAAAUGAGAUGUUUCAUACCGUUGAUUGAAUUGAUUUCCCUAAUUAGUGAUAACAAUGUGCAUUGUUGUAAUUGUCUGCCAUUAUGAUUUGUGGUUUUUUGGUUGGGAUGUUUUUCGGGACUAGAAAAAACUAAUGCAAAAAUCGACAUUUAUGGUUGCAGUGAUCUGCUGGCAAGUUAUAUCUCGAGUGCGAUUGUGAUUGGAUGCAUGUGCUUUGCCUCCAUUUGUGUAGCCAAUCACUUGCAGGUAAAUACCGAGUACGCUUAUUUUUAGAAGCCUAGUUCUAAUACACUGAGAAAAAUACUCGUGCAUUGCCUAGUUGUGGUUGAUAAUUAACUUCUACAUAAGGCUCUUUCUCGACUAAUAUCUGAAUCAGAUAUCAUGUGUUUCUAUGACCCUUUUUUUUCUUUUUUCGAAUAAGUUGGACCGUGGGACAUUUACAUAAAACUUGUCUGAAAAUUUCCUCUCCAAUCAAAAGGAAUUGUUCGUCACAUGAGUCGGGGCCUUCAUUUUUUUUGUUUUGUUUCUUUUCAUUAGAUAGUAGGCAUAUGUUCUUUCUCCGUUCUUUAAUGGCCUUUACUUGUUACUUUCUUGAAUCCAACCUCGGUUCUCAUGGAAUUUUGAUUUCGACCUUUUUCUUAUCCAGAUUCUUAUUAUACAGCUGGAAAUAUACGGCAUCAGAGACGUCUCGAGUUGUUCAAGAAUGCAAGUUGGGACCCGUCGACACAAUUUGCUGAAUGUGAAAAUUUUGAUUGGUGCGUUUCUUGGACAGCAAUACUUGACAAAAUUAACACGAAAAAAGAGAUCCCUUAUUGGGAAUUAAAUUAAUCAAUCAAGAUCUAUUUAUUUUCUGGCGAUCCUCCGUUUUUUAUUUUAUACACAGCAGCCUUGUAAUUGUAAUGCUUAAAUUAGGCUUAGCUUGUAAAAUACUUCAUCAUUCUUUCUUGAAUUAAUACAGACCAUUUUUCAGUAUAAGGAUGAUUGCUUAUAUUUUGUAUUACUUCAACAAACUCAAUGGCUACUAAAAUUUGACAAUGGGAAUCAAAUUCAAUAAUCUAUAUUAGUUUUAUUUAAAAAAUAAUCGAAUUGUCAUCGUUUGGCAGCCAACGCAAAGAAAAGAAACAAACACAAGAAAACAACGAACCAUCCAUUAGACAACAAAAGUGGAACCAUCCAUCGAAGUACAAUCGGAGUGCUCAAAACAAACCGACGCUCACAUCAUCCCAACCAACCUUAUAUUCCACCAAACACAUCCUUACAAUCACUAUGUCCAUUCCCAUUUGGCCUUAUUCCAAUUCUUUUUUAUUUUAAGAAAUUAAAAAUUUAAUCUUUUAGCCUUUUUCCUUCAACAUUUAGCUAUUCAAUGAAACUCCUUUUGCCUUCGCACACUCAAAUCAGCCUCCCUUAAUAUUAUUUACGUUACCCUCUCCAACAUUUUCCUCUUGGUUUUUGCUGCAUGAUCGCCCGAUUCUUCUCUCUCCUCCGUCAUCCAAGAAUCGUUUGGUAGGCUGAUCCAUAUGAAGCCGUUCGAUAACUCUACAAACUCGUGGCAAAAACAAUAACAUUCUUCCAAUCUCUCUCUCUCUCUCUCUCUCUCUCUCUCUCUCUCUCUCUCUAUAUAUAUAUAUAUAUAUAUAUAUAUAUAUAUAUAUAUACACACACACACACACACACACACACACACACACACAACACUCCAAGGAAAAAAAUACAAAUUAGUUGAAGCCUCUCUACUUUAGUUUCCUGCAAAUCUUGAUAUAUAUAUAUCAGCACACACAAAACACUCUAGUUGAUCAAUAUUAUUACAAGUUGAAAAAAACGAGAACGAUAAUGGGAAGGCAAAACAAGGAUCAUGCAGUAGUUGGAUCAUCGAUCGCACUAUUGCAAGAGAGAUUUAAGCAGCUGCAGAGAUUGAAAGAGAUGAGAGAAGAGAGACAGCUUCUCAGUCUUCUGCCUCAAACAAAAGAUUGUUAUUAUUAUGAAGAGCCUUCGGAAAAGCUAAUAAUAAGCACUAGCUUUUCAACUUCUGAUCAAUCAGCUUUGCGGGACCCACUUGCCCUCGGACUCAAUUCCCAUGCCCGUGACGACGUGGCACAUUUUCGAGCAAUUAAACCUGCUAGGCAGUUUACUUCUGCUACUGCAAGAGGGGCCCACAGCAGUUUCUUCGAAAAAACUGAUGUUGUCGAUACUUCUCUUCGUCUCUAGAUUGGAAACUCUCCCUUAUUAUUUGUUCUACCGUCUUAUGUUCUUCAUAUAUGUUUUCUCACAUGUAACGAAAAGUUGAUAGAAUAAGAGAAACUAUAUAUUGUGAUGAAUAACGUAUAUCUAAUCUUUCUGAUGUCUGUAUAAAAAAUAAUUUGCUUGUGCAUGCUGUUCGGGAUCAAGAUGAACAAAAGGCAAGAUGUUCGAAAUUCUAUUUUAGUCUAUAAUUAGGCGAUGACAAUGUACAAUAUUUGUUCAUAAGAAAUACACGAGUGUCAUAUGUGAAAAAUGCAACAUCGGGUUAAUUCUUCUUUCUCUUGAGUUGCAUCCAAUCACUAUUUCAACUUCGAUAUAAUUUCUCUCUUCAUGCAAAAUACCGCAAACUGAACGCCUUAGCCUCUUAUCAAACAACACUUUGCUCAAGCUUUCGACAUCACUACACGUCAUUCGAACUCUCCUUUGACCUGUGCUUUCGUUUCUUACUCCUGUGUCAACAAAACACGAUUUACAUGUGUGUGUGUGAGAGAGUAAUUUUUAAUUUUUUUAAAGAAAGUAAAAUGUUAAGUUUAUAGCGAGAGUACUUCUCGUGUGAACUUGGAUCCAAACAUGAUUUGAGCUUCCUAUCAAUGUGCUUUACGUCUUUUGACGUAGGAGUCUCGAGCUUGUUUAUCUGUAUAACAUUUCAAAAUAUUCCCACAUGUUAAGUGCAAUCAAACGACAUAAGCAUAGGUAUCUAAUCGAGAGAAAAACUACACCAGAAUAUCAAUUGCAUUAAGCGGAAGGUGGAGAUCUGAAAGUCCAUGAGCUGGAUGCUGCCGUGAGAGCAUGCUUUUAAUAUAUCUGCAUAAUGGUUAAUACAAAUUUAUUUCCAAAAAUAAAUGCAUUUACAUACUAAACACAAAUAUUUAUAUAUAUAUAUAUAUAUAUAUAUAUAUAUAUAUAUAUAUAUAUAUAUUCAAAAUUUGGUGGUUUUUGAACCUCUCGAAGUCGUUGACUUUAUGCACCUCACAAGACCUGCGUAAAGCUGCCAAUGCUAGCUGCACAAACAACACAAGUCAAAAUGACACUGGUCAAAGAUAUUUUUCAUCAUAAAGUUGAACUGUGCAAAUAAAUAAAUGAAACAAGUGUCCUCGGAAAUGAAUACGAUAUUAAGGAAACAGUACCUGACCUGGUGGGAAUAGAAGGGGAGCCUCCGUAAGCAUAAUUUUAUCAACCUCCAGUUUUGCAGAUUCGUGCAAAUUCUACAGCCAAAAUAAGAACAUUAAAGAUAAGCAACAAAAAACGAAGAUGUUUAAGAAACCCUAGUAGUUAAUCUCAUAGCUAACCGACUUUAAAUGAAAAUUAUUAAUGAAGUUUCUUGCAUGAAGUUCAAGUAAUAUCAGAAAUAAGGCGAUCAACAUAAUUCAAUUAGGGCUAACUUGUGUUAAUUCCUUUACACCUGAUAAUAUUGCAGGAUAUAUCCAAAGACCAGAAUAAUACUUUGCAGUAAUGCAGAAAGAGAAAAAGAAUGUUAAAACAACUCAAACAAGAAGAGAUAAGAAAGGACCUUUAUUAUCUCAGUCUGCCCUGCCAUUUUCGCGCCAUAGAUCUCCUGCAGAGUUGAAAAAACCUUCAUAAAACGCCAUUGCCAAUUGCCAUAUAAAACGAAGAUGCCCAGAAAAGGAAGUAAACAAUAUAGUGCUUUCUCUAUAUGAAGAAACGAUGGUGAAAAGGAAAGCUGGUUCUUAUUAGAUGUAUAGAGUUACACUAAACGAACCUCCAUAUCACCGAUAAAGCCUUGAAGAGCCCGAUAUGGUGCAUAAACAAUAAGGUCGAAUCCUAGACUCUGCAGUGACAGAAAACACUAUCAGAUUAUUAAACAUGUACAAAACAAAUAUGAAAAAGUAAAAAGAUAUGUGAUAUUCGUACCUGAAGAACCAGCAUUUCAUUAUUAAGGAUCACCUGAUGAUCCUGUUCAAUCCCUUUCCCAAGCUCCUCUGCCGAUACAUGGUUCUCCUCUGCCUUACAAGCAGCAUAUAUGCAGGUUAACCUGCAAGACGAAUGAUUUUUUCAGUAUUCUUUUUUUUUUUUAAUAAAUAGUAAAACAAUUGAUAACCCAUCCAUAAGAAAUACGGUAAUCAAGAAGCAGCCGUACAUGAUAAUCUUUGGAUGAUGUUCCAUCACAGACCAUUGCAAAUAGAACCUCUUAAAGUAAAUAAGAGCAGUCGCCUGCGGAAAAGAUACAAAUGUAAGUUUGAAUAGCAAUCAUCUAGAAUUUUUUUGAUUUAACACUGUUUCCAGGAAUAUUAAUUACCUGAAUUUUACGCGGAAAUUUGAAGGCAUCGCAAACAUCUUGGAUUUUAAACUCAUAGAAAGCUCGAAGAAUUUGCUCUUCUUCUGUCUUGAGUGCUUUAGGGCGUGAAUGCUUCUCCGCUGAAACACCAACAAGGUUUAUGGUAUUUGGAAACAAAUGCAGAUGGGAUUUUUUUGAAAGAUGAGGAGCGUACCGUUAUCUUUUACGUCAUUUUGUGGUUCGGCAUAAAUGAAUGAUCCGUCAAUAUCUACUUCCAUCCGAGUUGCUCCAUACUUUUACAACAUAUAUACAGUCUUAGCAUCAUUUGGAUUUCUUAAAAAAAGCAAACCAUGCUACAAUAAAAGUAAGUUCGCAAACAAUUUCAGAUGAACAACCACAACGCAAAUUACACGAAAAGGCACACUUUAAGCUUCCGUAGAUAUAAAGACGACAUAUAUAUUAUAAAUAUACAUUUAUUCGUCGAUUAUAAACCAAUGUUUAUAUAUAUAUAUAUAUAUAUAUAUAUAUAUAUAUAUAUAUAUAUAUAUACUACAAACCAAAGAAAUACAGAGACGUACCAUCUCAAGUGCUUGCUUCGCUCGUUUAUUAGCAUCCUUGUAUUUUUCCUUCUGAAAAAAUCACAAGAAUUGGAGGUUGAUACCAUUUCAUGCUAAAGAAAGUGAUACGAGUACAUGUGCACACACACACACACACACACACACACACACACACACACAACCGGAAUUAUGACACUCUCUGUUUAGUUACAAUUUCCUAACAAUUUUAUAUCAUACUACAUCCCGUUAACCACAACCAGAACCAUUACUUCGAUUAAAUAAAUUUAUUUCAGACUACAUUCCGCUAACAAAAAUUUGAUAAGAUGCCUACAGUUGAAUAAAACACCCAUUAACCACAACAAAGAGCAUUGACAAAACACCCACAGUUGAAUUUCAAUACGUUCUCCCGUGCAUGUACACUUUUUUAUUACAACAAUUGUUCCCAAUCCCAAUACCUAAAAGUAAAUUCCCCAAAAUAUGAUCCCAAUACACCUGGAAAUAACACAAAGAAAGCAAUAUUUUUUUUCUCCAUGAUCGACACAGUGAUAAAGAAGAAAAGAAAAAAAAAAUGAAAACUUUUGAGAGGAAUAGUCAUUACAAGAUCAUGAGGAGUGAAUAUCCACUUUGAUCUGUGAGUCGAGGUCGUAAAAUCCGCCAUUGAUCUCUGCCGCCUAACAAAUGUAAAUUAAAAGGUACAUCAAUUAAAAGAACGUAGUAAUGUUUUCCUCUCUGUCAAAUAUGGCUGCAUCACUAACACCAAUAAAUUUAAAAUCGACAGCUUCGCAAACUUGCAUUUAGCAAAUCGCAACCGUUAGAAACCCGUAUCGAUAUCAAAAGUACUCUUAAAUUUAUAACCCAUUCAAUGUUCAACUCCAAGUCUACAAUGGCACGAUCCUCCAUAUCCCAAUAGGUGUAAUAAAAGUACACAAUUUACGCAUACCGUGCUGCAUUACAGUUUUAACAAACAAAAGAGAAACAAAAAAUUCACAAACAUAGAAAAGGAUACUUCAAUUUCAUCUGAAGCAGUUAUUGCAUUCGUUUUCAUGAAAUUAUAAUCAACUCAGUAUUUGCGAUAAAAUAGAUAAAUACUUGUCCACAAAAAAGAACAAUCACCGUCAACAAUACUUCCGCCGCCUCCGUCGCCGGUGAAUGAAUUCGAGGAUUUGGGGGUUGGGACCGGCUUCAGCGAGUAAUUCUGUCGGACUUGUGAAGUUUUGAAUUGAAUUUUGAGAAAGCCCUAGCCCCUAAUUUAUAAUGGAUUUGGUAACCAAAAUAAUGUAAGAAGUAUCUAAUUAGAAACUAAAUUAAAUUAAUUGUUUGUCUUGAAUGAAUUGUUUUUAUCAUUUUUUUUAAAUAAUGUUACGAGUGAAUAAUUAUGGAGGGAUUUCCUAGAAAUAACUAAAGAUGUUUUUUCUCAUUAAAAAGAAGGGAUAAUUUGACAAAACUCACUCAUUACACAAGUGUCAUUAUAAUGAGCCCAAUUUUAUUUUACAUAUUUUAGAUAAAUCCAAAACAGUUUUUAUUAAUUAAAAAAAUUUAAUUAUCACCAUUAUACCCCUUAUUAAGAAAUAGUGUAUAUUUAAUUUUGGUAUUAAAAAAUUUACAAUAUAUUUUCCAUUAAAGGGGUCCUAAUAAUUAGGGAAUUAGUUACCCAUUUUAAUGAACAUAUUAUCUUCUAUUCUGCGUGUUCUCUCUCUCUCUCUCUCUCUCUCUCUCUCUCUCUCUCUCUAUAUAUAUAUAUAUAUAUAUAUAUAUAUAUUGAAUCCUGGGUGCAUAUAAAUAUAUAAUGUAUGAAUGUAUUUAGAUCUUCGGAUCUCGAACCAAAACCCCUUGUGGUCCAUCUCUCUCUCUAUCUAUAUAUAUAUAUAUAUAUAUAUAUAUAUAUAUACUAGUGAGGCCACACCGCGCCACGCGCGGUAUAUAAUGCCCUGUAUAGCUGAAUUAAUUCGAUUGUUAUACAAAAGAGAACAAUACUCUAGUAUGCACCAAAGAGACAUAAACAACAAAAUAAAAACACAUAAUUAAAUGAAAAUUAACAAGUGCUCCAUGGAACCAACUCUUAUAAACAAAAACAUAAUUAUCAAUAAACAAUCCAAACCUAUAAGCAUAGUAAUUACAAAGACACAUAGUACAGGAUGAACAUUCCAUGAUGGUGAAUUAACAAGUGUUAAAUUUGAUAUUUGGUUUCAUCUCAAAAAAAAAAAAAAAUUGAUAUUUGGACAUUUACAGAGUACAUUAUUUCAAUUAAAUAAAGUCUAGUUAACUGUGAAUCUCCCUUUUGGAAUUUCUUCAACCAGGAUUCACCAUGCCCAUUAAUGGUGCCAUCAUCCCCUGAAAAGAAAAUCAGGUAAAAAAUUAAUAAUUCAAAUACCACAAUUUUUUGACAAAGAUUAUUAUAUUAUAUAAAUACAUACAACCAUCUUUUUUAAGAAAAAAAAUUGACCUGUAAUAACUACAUCAAUUAGGUUGAUACCAAAGAUGAGGCUUAUAUAAAACAAAAAAACUAUAGUUAAAUUUCCAGAAGAAGAAAGGGACAUCUAACUGAAAAACAUAAAUAAUUUGUAUUUAGUACUCUGCAUUAUGUCGAAUUUGCUGAAAAACUCACUGUGUUAUAAAUAUUAACAAAAAAGCCAUAGGAUGCAUUUUUUAGCACACAACACCCUAAAUGGUGUGUUUUUAGGGGUAGUCAGCUAAAAAAUUGCACAAUAGGGGAGUUUUUGCUAAUAUUUAUAAUAUGAGGAGCUUUGUCACAAUUAAAGUAAAUACAGUAAAUGCAGGGGUCAGGGGUGCUAAAUGUAAUAAACCAAAAACAGAAAUAGUAAUAAAAGAAAACAUAAAAUUAAAACCUGAGAAGCGAGAAGAACAACAUCUUUAUGGAGAAAGAAUGUAAAAUGGCUGGUCAAAUUAAAGCUUCCAGUCAACCCCACUUCCCAGAAGGAACAAAGAGCAUCGAUCCACCGUCCGAUUCGAACUGGCUGAGAUGAUCGACAACCAUCUGAAAAGCUCUGGUAUUCGACGUCGUUCCAUCACCUACCCCGCCAAAAUUCGUCAGAGAUACCCCGUGGCAAAAAACAAAUGCACAUAAAUCUGUAUUCAGAGAAAAUAUAAAACGAAGGCACAUUACAUGACUCUAUAUAAUAAGUGUAAAGAAAGAAACAAAUACUGACUAAUACAAGUACAAUUGUCGAUUGCAAAAUGAAGUAUAAAAGAAUUAGAAACAUGUUAUUACAAGAUGAAUUAGAAAUUCAUAAUUUCACUUCCGAUGAAAAAAUACAACUAAUAGACGAAACUUCAUUAUAUGGACCUAAUUAAUACUUGAUGACUUGCAUUCAUAAGUUAUAGCAAAUGCUCACUAUUUGGGAAACAUUACUUCCAUUAGUUGUAGACAUAAAUGAAAUAUACGUAAACACAAACAAUUAGUAAUAAAACAAUUAUUAUAGCAGUUAUCUCAAUCAAUAAAAAAAAUGAAAAAAUAAAAAAUUAAAUUAAAAAAGCAUACAAAUGCUCUUGCUGUUUUUUGUCCUAUUCUUUUUUGGUCUCCAAUGUAAUAGAUGUUAACACAUAGGAAAGCAUUUCUGAAUUUUUGAACUUAGUUAAAGCAGAAGUUUGCUUUAUUAUAUGUCUGCUUCUUCUUGUAACUUACAUUUUUUUAGACAAAACAACCAAUAUCAUAAUAGAUAAUCACAUAGGAUUCUAACUUCUAACAAGUUCCACAAAUACGCCGUCAAAGACAUACACAUCCGCAACCAAACUACACACAGCUACAUAGAAACUCAGACUACAGAGGUGUCGUCAUUGCAUAUAAUAUAUUCGAAGACAUGCAUAUAAUAUUAAGUAUCAAGAAAGGGAGAGAAAUAUACCCAUAGGAUAUCAUCUUGCCCGAGUAAGCUUGAGUGGUUUCUAUUAGCAUUUCCAAGGAUAUCAGCUAAAAAAAUAUCAGAGAAGAGCAAUAAGCGAUUGAAAGCAAAACACAUAACCUCAAAUCAAAUGCAAAUGAAAGCAAGGACAUAGAUCAAUUACAAAACCAUUACACAAUACACUGAACAACUGCAAAUGAAAGCAAGGACAGCCAAUUUUUCCUAUAUAAUUGGGUUUUGACCAGAUAUGGAUAACAUGCCUAUCUGAUGAAUGUUGACUGAAACUUCUGCAAAACCAAAUUUGAAUACCCAUGGUGAAAAACAUAAAUUUAACAACCAUGUAACAACAAUUUUGAAUUUGAAGAAAUAAUUUAGUCGACGAUAUUGAAAAGGAUAUGCAGUUAAUUAAAAGACAAAAAACCAACUAUAUUAGAUAAUUAAAAUACUCGUAGAACACAGAAACAAAAAAACAUAAUAUAAUUCCAUAACAACAAAAACUGAGAUCCAAAGAUACCCUUUCAAUAAACAAGUGUGUGUUGCCUGGUUUGGACAGGAGGCAGACGGAGAGGAUUGUCGGAGGCGGAAUGAAGAACUAAUCAACCGAGCACCAAACCACAUCAGUAUACCUGCAGUCAAAGUGUUUACAUCCAUUAAUACAACAAUAAUGAUAAAUGGAAAGGAAAUAUAAACAUUCUUUAGUGAUUAAUGAAUUGACUGAUGCAGAGGAUACCACGUAUGUCACUGACUCAGUAAAUGGACGAGACAACGUCUUCCGCCCCGCCGAAAAGUCUGCAAUCGCUUAAGAUAAUAAGAUAAAUAGAUAAGUGGGCUUACUUAAAUGGAUCCCACAUAAACAAGUGAAAGAAAAAAGUUAGUAGCAAAAAUUAGGAAGAUCUGCACAAAUUUCGCACCAAAGUGUAGCUUAACAUGAUUAAUCAAGAAAGAGAGAAAAAAUUAUACCCAGACCCAUUCUGCAGGGAAUAAGGCAGUUGUCUUCUGUUAGCAUUUUCAAGAACAUCACCCAAGCACAUAAAGAAAAAGGGAAUGAGUCUAACAUAAUCAUAGCGUAAACUUUAUUUGGGGAUAAAUGAGAAAGAUAACAUACCAAAUGUAAUCGAGAGCAAACCUAAAGAGAAAAAAUAGAAACAAAUUAAUUUAAGAACAAUAUAAACAAGCGAGACUAAAAAUGCGAUAGAGUUACAAGCCCUUCUACAAUUAAAAAAAAAAACAGUUAAUAAAUACAAAUUUACCUAAAUGGAUUGAACAAAGAAAAUGGAGGAAACGAAGAACCUAAUGGCUGAGAACCUCGGCAGUUUUCGGCAUCGGCAUAAAAAGGUUAGAAAACCCCUAUUUUGUUGUUGUUGUACUCACGAAACAGAGAUGGGGAUUGAAAACCUCCAUCGGAUGUGCAAAAAAUACAUCGAAUGACUGAUGAUUUGCGGGCGGUUUGCUUUGAGAGUGCAAUUUUUAGGGUUUUCCUUUAGUUGGGUACUGAAAUGGCCUCCGGAGAAUGUAAAAUUGGAAAGAGAAAUGAGACGAUAAAGAUUGUGUAAACCCACGUCCCACAGGCUACACCGGAAGCUACAAACGUCAAGGUGGGAUUGACAAGCGAGAGAACGCAGAAGCAGACUGACAACCGCCGAAAGCAAGCGCGUGUAAAUGAACACAACUCGCGUGAGUUUGUUAAAGAAAAAUGGAAAAUACUGGAAAUAUUAAGAGAAGGGCCCACGGAUAUGGGCGGACCAUAAAUUUGAGCAGCAAAAGAAAUUGGAAAAGAAAAGGCGUCCACGCUUUAUUUGGAUUUUUUUCCGAUUAAACGACGUCGUUUUGUGUGCGUUUUGUGUUAAAAUAAUUAGAAAUGUAAUAUUAUUGCACUGUUCAUUUGAGGCCUACAUCUUUAUAGUUUUGUAAUAUAUAUAUAUAUAUAUAUAUAUAUAUAUAUAUAUAUAUAUAUAUAUAUAUAUAUAUAUAUAUCCGUAAACCACUAUNNNNNNNNNNNNNNNNNNNNNNNNNNNNNNNNNNNNNNNNNNNNNNNNNNNNNNNNNNNNNNNNNNNNNNNNNNNNNNNNNNNNNNNNNNNNNNNNNNNNUAAACUCGAAGAAAAUUCAAGUUUCUGAACUCUGCAGAACGGGAGAUUCAAACGGCUUGAAUCCUCCGUUCUGCAGAGCACGGAAACUUGAAUUUUCUUCGAGUUUCCGUGCUCCAAAAAACGGGAGCUUCAAAUUUUCGUGUUCCAGAAAAGGGGACCUUCAAACUGUAUUUUGAAUUUUUUUUUCGGAAAAAAAUAAUAAUAUUGGGGUUCCCGUGCCCUAGGAGACGAUUGUUCAUGGUUCCCGUCCUCCAGGGCACGGGAAACACAUGUUUCCGUCCUUCAGGGCAUGGGAACUUGGUGUUUCCGUUCUCCACAGCACGAUUGUUCAAUUUUUUUAUUUUUUAUUUUUUGAUUUUCCCGUGUUGUGCAGCACGGGAAACCCAAAAAAAUUGGGUUCUCGUGCUGCACAACACGAUAAUACCGCUAAAAAAUAGAAAUUUCACUAAUUUAUUCGAUUUUACCUCGUAGAAGUCAUCCGAAUCGGCCAUUAUGUUAUUUGUUGUCGUCGGGCAGUCGAUUUAUCAAACAAAUACGAAAUUCUUUUUUUUUCGACCUUUUUUAAUUGAGAGCGUUUUGAGUUUUUUAGAAAGUUGGAAAAAGUUGAAAUGAAAGUACCGCUGCAAAUAAGCCAAUUUCAGUAAAAGUCCCGCUACAAUUAGCAUUUCAGAAAGAAAAAAAAAAAUAAAGAUGUUUUAUAUUUUUGGGUAAAUUGCACUUUCCCCUUGUAAUUUGGAUGAAUAUCACUUUACCCCCUGUACUUUUAAUUGCAUCAAUUUAUCCCCUUGUACUUGAAAAAUUGUCUCAAUGAGGCCUUCGCCGUUAAUUUUUAUACCAUUGACCUUAACACCGCUUGAUCUAAGUCUGAAAAUUACAAAAAAACCACCCAUCUCAGUUUAAAUAAUUAUUAAAAAAAAUAAAAAAUUGUACUCGCGUCGUGGACUAUGUUUUCUCGUUGUCUUGAAUUUUUUAUUAUUUAAUUUUUUGUUUUUUUUUUUAAUUUUUUUUCAAAUUUUUGAAACUUAAAUUGUAAUAUUUACCCAUUUACUUUUCAAAAAUGAAAUUGGAAUUACUUUCAUAAAUCCGAAUCGGAUCUAAAAUUGAUUAUUUUAUAUGUAGUUUCGAUUUCUAUCCAAAUGUUAUUGAAAAACAAUCACAAUUUUGUAAGUUCGAAAGUCGAAUUCAUAAAUAAGAAAAACUAUAUAUAUUUAUAUUCGCAACUUUACAUCUGAACACAAUUCUACUUAAAUACUAAAAUUUAUACCGUAUUUUAUACCAUCGUCAUCGAUAAAUUCCUUAUAGUAUGUAUAUAUAGUCCGAUUACUCCAUUUUUUGUUAGUAAGUCGACUCAACUCAAUUACACGUCUAAUGCAUGCAUGCACACGUGACAUAGUAUAUAUAAAAAUAUAUAUAUAUAUAUAACAUUAUACAAAUUUAAUAUUUACUAAUUAUUAGUCCAAUUAUAUAACAUAAAAAUAAGAAGAUUUACAUAAAAAACUUUUAAAAAAA